rnacentral:lncRNA from 1 species
ACUUUUCACUCUUUUUUCAUUAUCUGUUGCAGAAUUUUGCAUUUAGAAUGGCAUCAUCAUCAGCUACCACAAUGAAGUUGUUCGUCGUUUUUGUCAUCGUAUUCACCACCGUGGCCUCGGCCCAAGACCUUAGUCCGUCGUUAGCUCCAGCACCCGGUCCUGACGCUGGAGCUGCCGGAUUUGUUACAAGUUCUGUGGCUAUGAUCGGAGCUUCAAUUGUGCUGUCAAUGGUCGCCAUUUUCAAGAACUAAGAGAAGUCCAUUUUGUGGGAACACUAUUAAUUAUUUAUCAGCACAUAUGAUUCUUAUUGUUUUUUUACAAUUAUUGAACUGCUUAUCAUAGAGUUCAUCUAUGUAUGUGGUUGUAUAGCGGAUUGGAUAUAUUGUGUGAUUUUUACAAUUUAAUUAUUUAUUGUACAUGUUAGAGAAAAAUAAAAAAAUUGGAUUUUUGUAUUCUUUUUCAGUUUUAUUCUUCUAUUUUUGUUUGAGGGAUUCUAUUAUUAUUAUUAUUAUUAUUAUUAUUAUUAUUAUUUGGUGCCAUGAAAUUUAGAUGGAUAUUUAUAUUUUAUUUUUAGGUCUUGUUAACGAGUGCCUCGGGCACUCUUUAAGCAUUAUAAAAGAAAUUAUUUCAUACAAAAAGUAAAAAAUUUCAAUUCUCAAUGCAUUAAUUACAUUAAUUUUUAAUAAAAGUUACUUUUUAAAGAUCUUAAAGAGUGUCCGGGAGCACUCGUUAACAUUUUCCUUUAUUUUUAACAGUGAUAUUCAAACAAUUAAAAUGUGAUAAUCUUCUCGAUUUUAAAUGUUAAUUUGGUUAAAAGAAAAAAAAAUUAUUAUUAAAUUGACAAUAGUAUGGAAAUACGAUGACAAACAAUUUUUAGUUUUAAAAAUUACUUUUCUCUUUUAAUUUUGUUGGGAAUUGAUAUCAUGCAACUAAAUUAAAUUGAAAAUUUAUAAGGACAAUGCAUAAUAUAUGCAAGGUUCGGGGUUCCUGGCCACUACUCAAAAUAAUUUUUUUUUUUUUUGAAAACUCGGUAUCUGAUCCAAGAAUCGAUUAAUCAGAGGGGACCAAUCCCACCGCCCACUUGCGGGGGCCCCAUUUUAAAGCUAGAGCAAGCUUUGUAUGGACUUAGCCCACCAAAAUUGACACCAGAGGAAAUCGAACAUAAGACCUUUGAAGGAGCAGACUCCAAGAUCCCAAGUCAAUCCCAAAUGGGUUUUAAAUUUAAAAUUUUUAAUCCAUGAAAUCAUACGUUUAUUUUUGGAUGGAAGAGUAUUAUCAUUUCUCAAAUUGUUUUUUAUAUUAGCGCGUUUAAUAAAUACUAAUACUAAUAUAUAAGGGUAUACACGUCCUGUGAGCAUAGCUCAGUUGGUAGGAUAAUGCAUUACUAUAUGCAGGUAGGCAUGGCAACAGAACCCGUACCCGCGGGUACCCACCCGAACCUAUCCCGAUUUUGACGGGGAAAAUCCGCUUUGACUGGGUUUGGGUUUGGGUUUUCCCCGAUUUUAAAGGAUGGGGGUGGGGCGGGUAAUGGGGAAACAUGUACCCACCCCGAACCCGUCCCCGAACCCGCCCCAAUUAUAUUAAAUUACACAAUUACCCCUAUUUUAAUAUAAAGUCUCAAUUAAUCAUACUGUAGUCACUUCCCACAAGUCUCAAUUAACCCCUAUUUUGAAGGAGCAUUGGUUCUGUUUCGGAAGACAUUGUUUUUCUCUUAAUAGUCUGGUGGUUUAUUUGUUUUGGUUAGGUGGUUAUAGUUGUGAUGAUUAGUGUUGUAAUUGCUUGUGCAAUUUUAUCAAUUUGUUAUAGUUCUUUGUACUUGUUAUUCUCAAUUUUAUCAAUUUUAAUGUUUAUAUUAUAACUUGUAUAUUUUAUAUAGGUGAAAUAUUAGCUAGUGGUGUUACUUCCCUCUUUGAAGAUGGUCAAUAGUAUUUUGAGAAAAGAGAAAGAAAGAAGACUACAUUGGUGGUGGCAGCUUAUCUAGCUACUUUUGUUAGCAAUUUCAAUGAACAAUGAUUUUUAUCUACUUGUGUUAGCAAUUUCAAUGAACAAUGAUGUAGUUUUGGAAUAUUGGUUUGGUUAUGUGGUUGUUUUGAUGGUAGUUUGGAAUACUCUUAUCUACUAGUACUAUAUUAUUUGGUUUUGAUAAAUUUAAUAUUGGUUUUGAUAAUUUGGAUUACUAGUUGUAUGGUUGCUGCAUUACUUUAUUUGAAAUAAUUUUAUUGUAUAUUCGGAUGAAUUUUGGGUUCAUGAUAUAUGUUCUAGUUUGGGUCAAGGGAUUAUGUUUAUUAAAAAUCUGAAUCCACUGCGAGUAUGGGGGCGGGGCGGGGAUACCCGAACCCAUUUGGGAUGGGGUUUGGGUUCAAUUAUUCAUCCCCGUCGGGGUACGGGGUGGGGAACGGGGCUUUAUCAGGGAAUUGGGUUUGGGGAUGGGGUAGGUAAAAACCGUCCCCGCUCCGCCCCAUUGCCAUGCCUAUAUGCAUGGGUCGGGAUUCGAAUCUCGGACACCUCACUUAUUCAUCUUAUAAGGUGAAUUCUUGCCACUAAGCUACCUGACCAAAAAAAAAGAUAUACACUAUUUUGAGUUGAACUUUUUCUUUUUAAUUUUACCAUUUAUUAAAACUAGUUAGAUCUCAUUAAAAUAACAACAAUAUACAAUAAUAGAAGAAACAAUUCACAAAAAUAGGAACAAUAUUAGAUUUUUUUUUUUUUAAGCAAAGAGAAAAUAGAUUAAAUAAAAAUAAAAGUUCAAGAUACUGGGGACAUAAACUUAACCCAAUGGAAAUAAACAAAAGUGUAACAACCUUUAAAAGGCAAUACAACCAUGAAUCAACCCUAACGGAUAUAAACAAACAAAAUAUAAACGAAGAAACAAAAUCUUAAGUGAAUAAUGCAAACCACGACAAGAUAUAAAAACCUAAUUUUAAACUUGUGUAAAAAAAAAGUUUUGAUGUAACAUUUUUCCUUCCAAUUUUACCUUUACUUAAUUAUUUUAACUAUUACUUGCCUAUAAAAGCGGAAAAGACAAACACAUUAGUAGUGGUAAUAAUAUAAACAAAUUGAUUCCACAUAAAAUUCUUUUAUCAUAUUAUUUUUCUAAUAAAUUAAUAGCGUAAUGACAUCAAAAAGAGUAAAAGACAUCCCAACCCGUUUGACAUUUCUAAUUCCAUUCUCUGAAAUGCACCUGCUCAAUAGCUAUAAUAAAUUAAUAAUGGCUAAAAUCUCUCCAUGCAUAAUAGAAAAAUUGUUAAAAAUUGAUUUUUUUUGAAAAAUACUUCCUAAGAGCCUUUAACCAAGUAAGCCACGAAGCUUUCAAAAAAAAUUGAAAUGAUUAGAGGUGGAGGCUUAAAAUUGGGAAUCAAUUUCAAAUGCAGCAGAACUUGCACUUAUGGGCUACCAUGUCUAACUAUGUUCUUAGACAAGCUAGCACUAAGAGAGUUAGCUGUAUUAAUCUUGAUAAUAGCUGUAUUAUCUCUUGUCUUCUAUGUCUUGACACCAAGGUAUUUUCUCUGCUGAAUAUGAUUUCUGACGCAGAUUUGUAUUAGUUUGAAACAUGAUUUACUAGUCAAUACCUGUAAUUUUUUACCCCUCUUUAGUCAUGAUGUUAGGCAAGUUGAUGUUAGAUUAUAGCAUAAAACUUGUCCUGCUGUAUGCGGUGGAGGUUCUGCUGUCUGCAGGGUUUUUUUUUGCUUGCAUGUUGCCGGUUUGGUGUGUGCCUGGGUGUUUUUUUGGUGCUGCUGUUGGUGUUUUCAACAACUGCAGCAUGGCUGAUAAGCGCCUGUUUUUUCAGUAGUGGUUGCGGUUUUGCGGCUGUGCAAGUUUCUAGCCUUCUGGUGUGUCUAGGCAAGCUUGUAGUUUGUUAGUGGGAAGCUGUAGUUACUGCCUUUCUGUGCAGGUUUGGGUGUUUUGGUUUUUCUGUGCUAUCUUUGUUAUUGUUGGGUUAUGCCUAUGCCGCUUUAGGCCUUUUGAUUUUUGGGUAGAGGUUCCGCAUAUAUAAAGAUUUUGGUGUUCCUACAUUGUUAGGUGUUCCGCAUAUUUCCGGCACCUUUGUAUGUUUCUCUUUGUAGUCCAAGCUUUUGUUAUUCUUUCACUAGUUUGGCUUCAUAAAUUUUCACUUGUUGUUGGUACCACUGGUACCUUAUAUUUCUAAUAAAUUUUUGUUUUGGCUUUUAAAAAAAAAACUAUAUGAAUUUAUCCAAGAUUUUACUGUGAUUUUGUGCGGUUGAUGAUUGAAGGAUGACGACUAUAGACGGACUUGUGACAAUGGAGGGAUGACAACUACAAUUAGACUUAAUUACUGUACAUGUGUAUACCACAUUUGUUGUGGGAUUAUUGCAUUUAGUAGUUAAUUAUAGUCUAUACUUGUCUAUUGAAAUUGUCUACGAUGAGUAGUUAAUUCUUUUUAAAUGUCAUUUUUGCAGUGGCGAAGAAUAUUAGACACAUGGAUUAUAUGUGUACUUACAACUCUUAUAAUACAAAUAUUAGUUUUAUUAAAAAAGUUUUUUGUUUCAAUAUUUUUCUAUUCUUACAAGUCACGUUUUAGAGAAUAAUCCAAAUUCAUUUCCAUUUCACAUGAUUUUGCUAAUAAUUGAUGUAUAAUAUGCCAAAUGUUUUAAUAGAAGGAAUUAUUAGGGAAGAAAAUAUAGUUAUUUUGUUUCAAUUAUUAAAAAAAAAUUAACGAUUGUAAAAAAAAAAAGUGAACGAAAUCGAGGUAAGAAAUUUAAUAAAUUAUGAUAGAAAAAAAUUUAAAUUAAUUAUUUUUUUAGGAUUUUUUUUCAGUUAAUUAGUUUAAAAAUGGAAGAAAUUAUAAGAAAUAAAAUUUAGUCAAAUAAAGGAAUUCAAUUACUUUGUCAUCCAAACAAUGAAUUUUGAAAAUGAAGGAAUUCAUUUACUUUACCCAAAUAAUGAAUUUUGAAAAUGAAAGGAAUUCAAUUGAAUUCCUUAAAAUUUCAAAUUCCCUUGAAUUUUCAAAUGCUCUAUCCAAACACACUCUUAGGUUUGGUCUAAAAUAGAAAGUUAUAUAUAAAAAAUUGAGUAAUUAUAAAAAGAAAAAACUCUGAAAUGUUUUUUUAGGGAGAAAAAAAAACUCUGAAAUGUUAAAAAGAAAACUUUAAAAUGUCUAGUUUUUAACGUGGGUCUUGUCGGCAAGUUUAGUUAAUUACGGAAAAAUAAAUUAAAGAAUCUUUGCCAAAUCAUCAUAGGCUGUUUAAUUAACAAAACCGAAAAGCAAAAACAGCUAAAUAACGUAACGUAAACCAACACAACGGCACCAACCAGAAAGCCAUUCAUACGUUAACAACACCGAAACACCUGUUUCUCAAAUCCAGCUAUCAACGUUUUCUGUGGGCCCCACAUUCCUUCCCUUAAUCUCUAUAUAAAUACUCCCCACUUCCUUUCAUCACCACCAUAUAUCAAAACUUCUUCAACACCAAAAACUUUUUAAUAACACUUUCCAUUUUUUCUUCUCUGUUAAAUAAUUUUACAAUUACAAUGGCAUCAUCAUCUGCUACCACAAUGAAGUUGUUCUUUGGUUUUGUCAUCGUGUUUGCCGCUGUGGCCUCGGCCCAAGACCUUAGUCCCUCGUUAGCUCCAGCACCAGGUCCUGAUGCUGGAGUUGCCGGAUCUGUUGCAGGUUCUGUGGCUAUGAUCGGAGCUUCAAUUGUGCUUUCAAUGCUCGCUAUCUUCAAGAAUUGAAAAAAUUAAAGACUAUGAGGUCAUUUUGUGGGAACACUAUUAAUUAUUUCUUGACACAUGAUUCUUGAUGUUUUUCAAUAUUGAUCUGAUUAUCACGAGUUCAUCUAUGUAUAGUGAGAGUGAGAGAGAUUUUUAUUGUAUUUGUUCAUGUUUAUAAUCAUUUAUUGUAGAUGUAGAAAAAAAAUAAAAGAGGAUAUUGAAUCCUUCGUGCUUCUUCAACUUCCUCGUUCUUUUAUUAUUGUUACGUGUAAAUUUGUUUUAAGUAAUUUAAUAAUUAAAAAUUCACCUUUAAGCAAAUUCGAAUCUGCGUCAGAGUUUGAAUCAACUGAAUUAAACUCACAAACACACAUAUAUAUUAUUAUUUUGGUUAAUUAAGUAUUUAUAAUUUCAUUUUUCUCCCUUUCAUUUUUUUUUCAUCAUGAUUUUGUUCUUCUUAAAAACGCUAAAGAAUGUUAAAGUGAUUAAACAAAAUAACGAUAUUUUUUGAAGAUUAAAAACAAAAUUCUAUAUAUUUAUAUGGACACAUUUAUUUGUUUAACCCUUAUUAUUAAUAGAAUUCUCCGAUUUCAUGGAUUUUGAUGGGUAUCAUUAUCAUUUAGCCAAAUUAAUUCAAAAUUUAAAUUCACUUUCAUAAUAUCCUUUUUUUAAAAAAGGCUAAGCAAAAUGUAGUAAAAAACCAACACAAGCUAAAAAAAAGGAAGCUAAAAUAUCCAAAUAUUACAAGAGGAAAAUACAAGCUAUCCCAAUGCAGCCAACUAAAGCAAAAUUAUGUUACAACAUUUUCCAAUGAAGAGAGAAGUUGUUCCGUUUUAUUAUGGAAACGCCUCAUCCUUCCAAAUAGUAAAAAGAAUUUGAAGGAUCGUUGAAAUGUCUAACCAGCUCAAUAUCAAAAGUCAAAGUUGCCCAUAAAAAACACAUGAAAAAAAAACAAAUGAUCUUGAUCCUCUACCAAUCCGCAAGCGGCCAAAAAAAGUAUCAUUAUAAUCCAAGAUGUUUCUCAUUAACAAAUUCAUCCGACAAAUAAAAAUAUUGAUCUUAGCAAAAUUUACUUAAGCCAUAAAACAUGAUUGCAUCGGUCAUCAACAACAACAUCCGAAGUAGCCAAGUGAAUAUAUACGCUUUUGACCGUGUACCCAUGGAAAGAAUGAAGCAUACAAAUCUACCUGUCAGUCAGAUCAACCUACAAAACAACAAGUUACAGUUGCUCCAAAUGUCGUAUAUUUUAGGAUGGAAGAGAAUUGUUAUUUUUUGCAACAAUAUUUUAAUUUUAGGCAAAAUUACAUCAUUCAUAUCGUAACUUAUUUCCUCCCUUUAUAAUUAUCUAUAUCCUUCAUAUUUCAUUUUCUUCACUUUGAUACUUUGAAUUUGUGAUUUUUGUACGAAGAUGUUGUGACACUACGGAUGAUAUAUUUUUUUUUUUAUAAAUACAAUUUUUUAUUUGAAGAUUUGAUGUCGUUGUUGAUGGAGAUGGCGAUUUUAGCUUUAUUUUAUUUUUAUAACAUCUCGAAAGUUAUUGAAGAUGAUAAUGAACAUGAUAAGAAUUUUUUUAUCUCUAGACAAAUUUUGUAAAAAAGGACAACAAUCUCAAUAUUUAAAAGGGUUUAUUAAGUAAAAGAAAAAGUAAGUCAAGGAAAAAUAUAAUAAAUAAAAAAGAAAGAGAGGCAGAGACUAUGGACAUUACACCUGGCUCAGAUACAACAUAAACUAGAAUAUAUCAUAAUGGUUAAGUGGAACAAGUGUAAAGUAUCCUAACAAAAAUUCACUCAUCAUGUGCACACUCCAACGAAUUCGGAUACGGACGCGACACCAAGUUACAAAUAGAGAGUAUGAUAAUAUAACUAAAAUUAAGUUAUGAGAUCGAUGUAGUAAUUUCACCAUUUUUUUUUAUGAUAAGAUUUUUUUUUUGGGUGCGGGGUAACGUGGGUCUUGGUGGCAGGUUUAAUUAAUUACAGAAAAAUAAAUUAACGUCCCAUAAGUAUAGUUUAGUUGGCAGAUACAUGUAUUAUUAUAGUUUAGUUGGUCAAGUAGCCUAGUGGCUAGAGCUCACACAAUUUAAUUGUGGAGAAGUGGAGUGUUCGGAGUUCGAACCCCGGCUCCUGCAUAUGAUAUGCAAUAUCCCUACCAACUGAGCUAAACUCACGGGGAUAAAAAAAAAAAAAAAAUUAACAAAUCUUUACCACAUAAUCUUACUGUUUAAUUAACAACCCCAAAUGUAACCAAAAAAAAUAAAAAAUCAACAUCGAAAAGCAAAAACAGCUAAGUAAAGUAACGUAAACAAACACAACGGCAACCAAACCAUACAACAACCCAUUCAUAACGUUAACAACACUGAAACACCUGUUUCUCAAAUCCAGCUGCCCACGUUUUCUGUGGGUCCCACAUUCCAUCCCUUAUAAAUACUCCCCACUUCCUUUUAUCACCGUAUAUCAAAAUCUCUUCAACACCAAAAACUUGUUCUUAAUUAACACUUUCAACUCUUUUCUUUAUCUGUUGCAGAAUUUUACAAUCACAAUGGCAUCAUCAUCAACUACCACAAUGAAAUUGUUCUUCGUUUUUGUCAUCGUCUUUGCCACAGUGGCCUCGGCCCAAGACCUUAGUCCGUCGUUGGCUCCAGCACCAAGUCCUGACGCUGGAGCUGCCGGAUCUGUUACAAGUUCUAUGGCAAUGAUCGGAGCUUCAAUUGUGCUGUCAAUGCUCGCAAUCUUCAAGAACUGAGAAAAUUAAAGACUAUGAGGCCAUUUUGUGGGAACACUAUUGAUUAUUUCUUGACACAUGAUUCUUCUUGCUGUUUUACAAUAUUUAUCUAUGUAUAUUGUUUUACAAUAUUCUUCUUGCUGUUUCACUAGUUCAUCUAUGUAUAUUGAGAGUGAGAGAGAUUUUUAUUGUAUUUAUUUAUGUAUUUAAUCAUUUAUUGUAGAUGUAGAAAGAAAAUAAAGGAGGAUAUUCAAUCGUUCUUGUUUCUUCAACUUUCUUGUUCUUUUAUUAUUGUUACGGUUAAAUAUUUUUUUAAGUAAUUUAAUGAUUAAAUAUUCACCUUUAAAUAAUUAUAUGUUAGUAUUGGAGUUCGAACCAACCGAACACAAUGAGUUAUAUAUUAUUAUUUUGGUUAAUUAAGUAUUUAUAAUUUCAUUUUUUGUCCGUUUAAUUUGUUUUUUCAUCAGGAUUUUGUUCUCCCUAAAAAUGCUAAAAGAUGUUAGAGGGAUUAAAAAUUGGCAAAUUCUACGGUACAUCCAACAUAUUUGAGUGUACUGGUACACCAGAUCCUUAAAUUUAUAGUUAAAUGAAUUAUUUUUAGAAGAAAAAUAUUUUUUUUUGUCAUUUAUAAUUAUAAUGAUUAAAAUCUUAUUCACCAAAAGCAUCAACGAAUUAAAAUUGAAUUUUUUUGAAUUUUUAUCGCUCAUAAUAGAGAACUUUGAUUAUUUUAUACGAUAAUAUGUAAAAAAAAACUUAUUAUGACUCUUAUAAACAAUGAAUAUAAACAAUGAAUGAUGUGUUUUUCUUAUGAAAUGAUAUUUUCUGAGAUACAAAUGCCGACAAAUAACUUUUUAUUUCAUAAAAUUGAUUGUUAAUGCAUAAAUUUAGGAAGCAGGAGUACCGGUACACCUUAAUUUAUGAGUGUACCGUAGAAGUUCCCUUAAAAAUUAUGAUAUUUUUUAGAGAUUAAAAACAAAAUUAUAUAUAUUUAGAGGGACACAUUUAUUUGUUUAACGGUAAUCAACCCUUAUUAUUAAUAGAAUUAUUAUCUGGUUUCAUGGAAUUUUGAUGAGUAUCGUUAUCAUUUAGUCAAAUUAAUUUAAAAUUUAAAUUCACUUGCAUAAUCUCCUCUCUUUUUUUUAAAAGGCAAAGCAAAAUUUAUUAAAAAAACCAACACAAGCUCCUCUAGUACAAGAUGUACCAAAGGAAGCUAAACAAUUUAAAUAUGACAAGAGGAAAACACAAGCUACCACAAUGUAGUCAAGAAAAGCAAAAUUAUGUUACAAUCUUUUCCAAUAAAGAGAAAAGUUGUUCCGAUUAUAUCAUGGAAAUGUCUCUUAUUGCGAUCCUUCCAAAUAGUAAAAAGAAAUUGAAGGGGUCGUUGAAAUGUCUAACCAGCCCGAUAUCAAAAGCCAAAGUUGUCCAUAAAAAUCACAUGAAAAGAACAAAUGAUUUCGAUCCUCUAUCAAUCCACAAGCAGCGGAACAAAAAGUAUCAUUAUAAUUCAAAAUGUUUCUCCUAAACAAAUUCAUCUUUGUUUCAUUCAGGAACAAACGCCAAAUAAAAAUAUUGACCUUAAACGGAAUUUGCUGAAGCAGUUGUUCGAAUUCCUUAUGAUAUGCAAGUUAAACAAGUUCGUCGACUUGUUGAAGUGGUUCAACACAUUGUUGUACUUAAAAAUGGAAUUGGCACAAUUUGCAGAAUUAGAAGCUUUUGGGGAUGGUUUGGGGCCCUCGAUGUCACCUCUUCUCCAUAAAUUAGGAUCAAUUCCGGAAACAUAAAACUUCAAUUGAAAUGAAGCAAAUUGAAUUCUCCCAACCAACGUCGGGUGAGCACUAUUAAUGUCUCAUGCCACGAAUCCUCUUGAAAGAGAGGAGUGCCUUCGGGAACACAGACACAGGUGGUGCAUGGUUGUCGUCAGCUCGUGUCGUGAGGUGUUCGGAAAAAGAUGUUGUAUAUGAAUCACUUACAUAUUCCUCUGAAUUAUAUAUAUCUGCGGGGAAAACUUAUGUUUCUUUAUGUUUAUUCACGUAAAAAUUGAAAAGAUGCUAGUUGGCCAUAAAACAUGAUUGUAUCGGUCAUCAACAACAACAUUUGAAGUAGUCAGGUGAUUAUAUGCGCUUUUGACCGUGUACCUGUGGGAAGAAUGAAGCUUACAAAUCCACAUCUGAUCAAAUACAUCAACCUGUAAAACAACAAGUGACAACUGCUCUGAAUAUCUUAUAUUUUAGGAUGGAAGAGAAUUGUUAUUUUUGCAACAAUAUUUUUUAGGCAAAAUUACAUUAUUCAUACAGUAACUCAUUGCCUCUCUUUAUAAUAAUCCAUAACAUUCAUAUUUCAUUUGCUUCACUUUGAUUAUUUGAAGUUGUAAUUUUUGUACGAAGAUGUUGUGACACUAUAGAUGAUUUUUGUUUUUUUUUUUUUUUUUUUAUAAAUGUAACUUUUUUAUUUGGAGAUUUGACGAUGUUGUUGAUGGAGAUGGUGAUUUGGGCCUUUAUUUUAUUUUUAUAACAUCUCAAUAGUUAUUGAAGAUGAUAAUAAAUAUGAUAAGAAUUUUUGUAUCUCUAGACAAAUUUUGUAAAAUAGGACUACAAUCUCAAUAUUUCAAAGGGUUUAUUAAGUAAAAUAAAUUUCAAGCCGAGGAAAAAUAUAAUAAAUAAAAAAGAAAGAGAUAUAAAGAAUGGGGAUAUUAGACCUGACACAUAUGCACUUCAAACGGAAAUACAUCGUAAUGACUUAGUGGAACAACCGUAAACUAUCUUAACAAAAAUUCACCAUCACGUGCGCAUCCUAGCAAAUCAGCGUACGGACACGACAGGUUACAAAAAAAAAAAUUAUGAUGAGGGAAUAACUGCAAAGAACAUUUACGGUUUAAAAAUUUUUUUUUUUUGAGAGAAAGAAAAUCAUAUCAUUUCAUUAGAAAUCAAAUUGUUAAUACAUGUAGGAAUAUCAUCAAAGACUUGGAAGCUAGUACUAGAUGUGGCUGCCUUAGCUAAAGCAUGUGCAACCUCAUUUGCUUGCCUCCUAAUAAACUCGACAUGAGAGUUUGUUAAAUUGGUUUUACAGAAUUGGACACUAUUAUCCAUGAUAGAACCGAACUCGGUACCAUCUCCACGGCCGUUGUUGAAAUAGUCAGCUACUCUUUUAGAGUCAACCUCGAAAUCAACAUUUGAGAGUUGAAGUUCAUGGAUCCACCGAAUCGCAUGGUAUAAUGCAAGAGCUUCCCCAACAUCCACAGAGCAAACUGGAGUAAACCACAUAGUUUUAGAACGAAAAUGGUUCCCAUCCGAGUCUCGAAUACACAUGCCAAGACCCACCUUAUUUGUUGUGUUAGGAAAAGAGGCAUCGACAUUACAUUUGUACCGACCACUUUCUGGUUUCCUCCAUCUAAUGUUUGCAUAAUCAUUGAGAUUUGAGGAAUUAGGGAUGGACUCUGGGUUACCUGACCUUGUAGUAGCUUGUUUGCUAUUGGCCUUUCUCCAUCCAUCGAGAAGAUGUUUUGCUCUCUCCAAUAUGGUAGUAUUUGAAUCGGACACCUGUUGCCAAAGCUUGAGGUUCCUAGCCUUCCAUAUACUCCAUAUAGUAGUGACAAUGAUUUCAAUUUGAGUUGUCGACAAUUUUUGCAAGAGAUUGAAGAUAAUAUCCGGAGCGUUGUCAAACUGAUUAAGCGACGGAGAAAUCAAAUGCCACAUGUUAGCUGUUUGCCAAAUAUCAAUUGAGCUUGGGCAAUGGAAGAGGAUAUGAUAGCUGUCUUCAUGCGGAUCAACACACCUGACACAAUCAGAUGGACAAUUGACACCCCUACUACGCAACUUCACUCUUGUUGGCAAACAAUCUCUACAAAUUCUCCAUAUCAGAUUCUUAACUUUAGGAGGCACUUUCAAUCGCCAAAUGCCACUCCAAUGUCCAGGUUUGCGCAGAUGAUCAUUGUUAAUAAUAUCUUCAAGGCAGAUACGAUAAGCACUCUUAACAGAAUAGUACCCGUUCUUCUCUGCCUUCCAUAUCAUUUCGUCCAUCUGAACCUGGUGAUAUAAGGGAGUCCUUAAGAUAUUGGUAGCCGUUUCUUCUGAAAACACUUGACGGACUAACUGUUCAUUCCAUACUUUGGCCUCUUGAUCAAUUAGAUGGCCUACAGUAUAAGGUUGAAGAGCUAUCAUGUCCUCACCCACAGGGGGAAUAAUAUUUCCUGAACCAACCCAUGGUGCAUUGAUGAUAGGAAUAUAAUAUCCGUUACCAAUUUUCCAUCUAGCUCCAUGACGGACCACAAUCUUUGCGUUGAGAAUGCUGCGCCAUACAAAACUCGGGUUGUGCCCCAACUUGGCUUCCAGAUAAGUACCAUUGGGAUAGUAUCUAGCUUUAAAGAUUCUUGACACAAGGCUUUCUGUAUUAGUUUGCAAUUGCCACCCCUGUUUACCAAGCAUUGCCACAUUGAAUGCUGCCAAGUCUUUAAAACCCAUACCACCAUCAUACUUGUGAACAGAAAGUUUUUCCCAAGAUAGCCAGUUUAAUCCUUUGCUGGUCCCUCCAUGACCCCACCAGAAAGAAUUCAUCAUCUUCUCAAUUUCAUCUAAUAGGGAGUUUGGUAGCCUGAAGACACUCAUAACAUAGGAUGGAAUAGAUUGAAGAACAGAUUUGAUCAUGACCUCCCUUCCUGCUUUAGACAAACAUUUACUGCUCCAGCUACUAAUCUUCUGCCACACUCUAUCUUUAAUAAACUUGAAGGUUGCUUUUUUACUUCUUCCUACCAUAGAUGGUAGACCCAGAUACUUCCCAGUGCCUAGAACUGCUCGCACACCUAAGAUAUUUGUGAUACAUUGUUGAAGUGGUGCUGGCACGUUCCUGCUAUAGAAGAUUUCAGACUUAGGUAGACUAAUAGCUUGUCCUGACGCUUCCUCAUAAUGAUUUAGAAUUUGCUUCAUCGUAUUUGCUUGUCCCUCUUCCGCUUGAAAAAACAAAAAGCAAUCAUCAGCGAAUAAAAGAUGAGACACUCUCGGAGCGGUACGGCAAAUUCUAACACCUUCAAGCUCCCCUCUGUUCUCAGCAUUUCUGAUCAGUGCCGAUAAGCCUUCAGCACAGAGAAUGAAAAGAUAGGGCGACAACGGAUCACCUUGUCUUAAUCCACGCCCUGGAAUAAUGGGCCCCACUUUCUCUUCAUUCAGAAUAACUGAGUAGUCAACUGUUUCUACACACAUCAUAAUCCAAUGGAUCCAUUUUUCUGAGAAUCCCAUUUUAUGCAUGACAUCCUUAAGAUAGAACCAAUCAAUUCUGUCAUAAGCCUUACUUAUAUCCAGUUUCAGCGCCACACUCUUAUCUUUGCCCUUAGUCUUCGUCUUCAUAUAAUGUACUAACUCAAUAGCGACCAAUGCGUUAUCCAUAAUGGAUCUACCCGGAACAAAUGCCGAUUGUGAAUCGGCAAUACAUUUGUGUAAAACUUUCUUCAGCCGAUUAGCCAGUACCUUGGACAAGAGCUUGUAUAAGACAUUACACAACGCUAUAGGUCUCCAAUCUUUCAUGGUUUUUUGCUCUAUACCUUUUGGAAUAAGUGCUAUAUUUGUAGAGUUCAAAGAUGGGGGAAAUUGUCCUUCAUUCAUCCACUGACAGCACUCCUUAAAAAUAUCCUCGCUACAAAUUGACCAAAAGUGUUGAUAGAAUCCAGGAUUAAAGCCAUCCGGCCCCGGGCACUUGUCUGGUUGCAUAGAAAACAUGGCUUCUUUGAAUUCUUGUAUAUGAAAAGGUGAUGUCAAUUGAGCAUUAUCAUCAUUAUCAAUCACCUUAUCCAACAUAUUGACUACUGUAGAGCGAACACUGUCAUGUCCUUCAAACAAGUCUUCAAAAUAGUUUUUUGCAAUAGCACGCAUGCCAGCUUCAUCAGUCACUCGAAUUCCUUCAUCGGUUUCCAACGAAAGAAUUUUGUUCACUUUCUUUCGGGAAGUUGCUGCCGCAUGGAAGAAUUUCGUAUUCAAGUCUCCGUCGCGAUACCAGUGGGUUUUGGCUCUUUGACGCCAAUACAUGUCUUCUUGUACAAGCAGAUGAUUAAGCUUUUGCCUCAAAUUAUCAAAUUGAGACUCAUUCCGGAUACCUGUGGUGCUACGACUCCUAUUAAGUUGUUUGUGGCAGUUCUCAAUUUCCACGCGGAGUUUGUUACAAUGAUUUUUACUCCAUCGUGUUAAGUCUUCUGCGCAAUUUGACAACUUAUGGAUGAUGUUAUUACCUGCACUCCCAGACCAGCUAUCUUGGACCACCUCAUUAAUACCAUCUUCAAUUCUCCAAGCAUUUUCGAAUUUGAAGGAUCUUUGGACUCUAGAAUUUCGAAUCACCGGGCUUUUAUCCAACAAAAUAGGAAAAUGAUCGGAGGACGGAGCAACAAGAUUCUCCAGUUUCGCAUUAGGAAAUAACUGCAUCCAGGAAUUAGUAACUAAAGCUCUGUCCAACUUCUCUUCUACAGCACGACUGGUUCCCAAACUUUUAAACCAGGUGAAAAGGUAACCUUCCAUGUGAACAUCCACAAGCCCUGCCUCUUGAACAGCUUGACGAAAUCCUCUAAUAAGUCAGUUGGGUCUGAUAACCCUACCUUUCUUCUCAUCAGCAUGUAGGAUAUCAUUAAAAUCUCCCAUUAAACACCAUGGUAUAGUAAUUUGACCAGCAAGACUACGAAUGAAAUUCCAUGAGUCUCUUCUGUUGAGGCAAAAUCCCUAAUUAAUUUUAAAGAUAAUAAACCAAUAUGAUUAAAGAAUUAAUGGACUUUGAUUAAUUCCUUGGUAUUUAACUUGUGCUCUUGAGUGUUUUACUAAGACAGGAACAAGGUUUGAAUCAUACCAAGAAUCAAGAAAUCAAAGGACAUUUGAAUUCAUGAUCUAACACUGAGGUCAGAAAGUUAGAUCAGAAUGUUGCUCGAAGAUCAGAAUGUUCAGAAGCAACCAAGUUCAGAAGCAACCUAGUUCAGAAGGUUGUUCAGAAGCAACCAGUUCAGAAGCAACCAGUUCAGAAGCAACCUAGUUCAGAAGGUUGUUCAGAAGCAACCUAGUUCAGAAGGUUGUUCUUAUACAAGCCAAGAAUCUCAAGAACUGUGAUCAAGGUCAUGCAAGGCACAUGUGACAUGAAUAUAUGUCCAGGAAAGUACAUUUGCAUGGAUCAAUCAAGCAAUAAAGGCAUAUACAAGAGUUAUGUCAAAGAAGGCAUUCAAUGUUCAUUUAAGACUAUGAACAUUGAUGUACUAGGAAUAUUUCACAAAGGAAUAUCAUCCUAGAUGUUAUCAUCACUGCUCUUCAUUAUUGUUUCACUAUUAGGAUUUGAUUACAUCAAAUGAUAGUCUUACAAAUCAUCCUAAGUGAAACAGAUGGAACAUUCUGAUGAUCAGAAUGUUCAAGCUCAGCUCAUGCUUACUUUAUGAACAGUAUAGUAGGUGAAAAGCAAAAAGCAAAAGCAAAGCAAAUCUGUCAUCUUUAACAAGAGAUAGACACGUCUGAGAGUUGGUACUGAACAAGGACAACACAAUCUCUCAAAGCAUGGGCAUGAAGAUGCAGAAUCCCACUAAAUCCUCCUGCACCGGUUCCAAGACAAAAUCUGGGAAAGGAACAUUCUGAUGUAUGAAGAAAAGUCCAUACAUUGGUUAUUGUCCAGAAAUUCAUAUGAAAAGCAUAUGCAUAGCCCAGAACUUCAUGUGUUCAUUCAUACAUGAUGAACCCAGAUGAAGAACGUGAUGAACCCAGAUGAAGAUCAUCAUGAACACAACAACAUUCUGAUGUUCAUCAGAGAUCAGAAUGUUUGCCCAGAAUUUCAAGUUAAAGCUUGUGGGACCCAGGACACAUGGCAUAACACCAUUGGACACCCUACAACGGCUAUAUGAGCCCAAGGACUCUAUAAAUAGAGGGCUUGGCCUUAGCAAAACUUGCACCAUUGCAAAGCAUACAAGAAAACAACUCUGAUUUUGUUUGAAGCUUUUGCAAACUGAAAUUGAUCAAUCUCUAAGUCUUUCAUCAACUUAGUGCAAAUCAAUACUCUUGUUAUCUGUAGGAUAACCUUUUCUUCUUCCUCCACUGUUUGUUUCACAAACACCCAACUUCCAUACAAAUUGUAACAAAGUCUCAUCUAGCUUUUAGAGGUCCUAAAGUGUUAGGUUGAGCAAAGGUUGUAAAAGUCUAAGUGGUUAACUUAGCAAGAAGGUGCAAGCCUGCUGAGGCUUAGAGAAUACAGGAUUGUAAUUGUUCAGGUGAACAAGAUUGUAAGGUGCAGGACUUGAGAGGUUAUCUCAAGCAUCUUAGUGGAAACUCUCACAGGAUUGUGGGGAGUGGACUAGCCCACAUUGGGUGAACCACUAUAACUCUUUGUGUGUUCUUUCUUUCUUCUCUAUACUCUUUUAUUUACAGUAUACACAACACACACUUACACUUAUACUUUAUUAAACAAUUUUGUUUAUGAACUUCAGAACAUUCUGAAGUCAGAAAGUUAACAUAAUUCCAAGUAAACAACUUGAGAAUCAUUUUUAAGUUUCAGGAUAAUUUUUAAAGGGUCACAAUUCAAACCCCCCCUUCCUUGUGACUAUUUUAUCUACUUCAAUUGGUAUCAGAGCUAGGCUCUAAGGGUUUGAACACUUAAACAAGUGUUAGAGAAAAGAUUCAGGAAGUAUGUCUAAAGUCAAGUACAUAGCUGAAGGAGGAUCUUCAAAUAGACCACCACUCUUUGAUGGAUCAAACUACUACUUCUGGAAAGGCAAGAUGGAACUCUUUCUCAGAUCUCAAGACAAUGAUAUGUGGGCAGUCAUCACAGAUGGAGACUUUGUUCCAACAACCAAAGAAGGAGCUGUCAAAGCAAAAAGUGCAUGGUCAACAGAUGAAAAAGCUCAGGUAUUACUAAACUCUAAAGCUAGACUCUUUCUAUCAUGUGCACUAACCAUGGAAGAAAGUGAAAGAGUUGAUGAAUGUACAAAUGCUAAAGAAGUAUGGGAUACUCUGAAAAUACAUCAUGAGGGUACAUCUCAUGUCAAAGAAACUAGAAUUGACAUUGGAGUCAGAAAAUUUGAAGUCUUUGAAAUGAGUGAAAAUGAAACCAUUGAUGAGAUGUAUGCAAGAUUUACUACAAUAGUAAAUGAAAUGAGAUCUCUUGGAAAGGCAUAUUCCACUCAUGAUAGAAUUAGAAAAAUUCUGAGAUGUCUUCCAAGUGUGUGGAGACCUAUGGUCACUGCAAUCACUCAGGCCAAAGAUUUAAAAUCUAUGAACCUGGAAGAUCUCAUUGGUUCACUAAGAGCUCAUGAAGUUGUACUUCAAGGAGACAAACCAGUGAAGAAGGUAAAGACACUUGCCUUAAAAGCAUCUCAGCAAACCCCAUCAGUUGCUGAUGAAGAUGUGCAAGAACCACAAGAAUUGGAAGAAGUUCAUGAAGAAGAAGCUGAAGAUGAACUUGCACUAAUCUCUAAAAGAAUUCAAAGGAUGAUGCUGAGAAGAAAUCAGAUCAGAAAGAAGUUUCCAAAGACCAACAUCAGCAUCAAAACUGAAGCUGAGAAAAGUCAAGUCACUUGCUAUGGAUGCAACAAAACUGGACAUUUCAAAAAUGAAUGUCCUGACAUCAAAAAGGUUCAGAGAAAACCUCCCUUCAAGAAGAAAGCAAUGAUCACAUGGGAUGACAUGGAAGAAUCAGAUUCUCAAGAAGAUGCAGAUACAGACAUGGGACUGAUGGCUCAGUCAGAUGAUGAGGAAGAGGUAAUUAUCUAUAAAACUGAUUCUUUAUAUAAAGAUCUUGAAAACAAAAUUGAUAGUCUCUUAUAUGAUUCAAACUUCUUAACUAAUAGAUGUCACUCUUUAAUCAAAGAACUUUCUGAGAUAAAAGAAGAAAAAGAAAUACUUCAGAACAAGUAUGAUGAGUCCAGAAAGACCAUAAAAAUUCUGCAAGAUUCUCAUUUUGACAUGUCAGAAAAACAAAGAGAGAUAAACAGAAAACAAAAAGGCAUUAUGUCUGUACCUUCUGAAGUACAAAAGGAAAACAUACUUUUGAAAAAGGAAGUUGAAACAUUGAAAAAGGAUCUGACAGGGUUUAUAAAAUCUACAGAAACUUUUCAAAACAUAGUAGGAUCUCAAAAUAAAAGUACUAAGAAAUCUGGCUUAGGCUUUAAGGAUCCAAGCAAAAUUAUUGGAAGUUUUGUACCUAAAGCUAAAAUAAGAGUUAAAUGUUGUUUUUGUGAUAAGUAUGGACAUAAUGAAUCAGUAUGUCAUGUUAAGAAAAAAUUUAUCAAACAAAAUAAUUUAAAUCUUAGUUCAGAACGUUCUCAUCUCAAUAGAUCAGAAAGUUCACAAAAGGCUGAAAAGGCUAAGAAGACACGUUUCUACUGUAACAAAUCUGAUCAUAAAAGACAGAAUGUUACUUUCAGAAAAGAUCUCUUAGAAGAACUAACCCUCAAGGACCCAACAUUACAUGGGUACCUAAAAUUUUUAUCUUGUCAAAUGUAGGUCUUGCCUCAGGGUGCAAGAACAAAAACAUGGUACCUGGAUAGUGGUUGUUCUAGGCACAUGACAGGUGACAGGGAUUGUUUUCUAACUUUUGAAAAGAAGGAUGGAGGACUAGUGACAUUUGGAAACAAUGACAAAGGUAAAAUCAGAGGUAAAGGUACUAUAGGUAAUCUUAACUCUGCUAAAAUAGAAAAUGUUCAGUAUGUGGAAGGUUUAAAACAUAAUCUACUUAGCAUAAGUCAAUUAUGUGAUAGUGGAUUUGAAGUUAUCUUUAAACCUAACAUAUGUGAAGUCAGACAAGCCUCCUCUAACAAAUUAUUUUUCUCUGGUUCAAGAAGAAAGAACUUAUAUGUUUUAGAACUAAAUGAUAUGCCUGCUGAAUCUUGUUUUAUGUCUCUUGAAAAAGACAAAUGGAUCUGGCACAAAAGGGCUGGUCAUAUAAGCAUGAAAACCAUUGCUAAACUUUCUCAACUUGAUCUAGUUAGAGGUUUGCCUAAGAUUAGCUUUGAAAAGGACAAAAUCUGUGAAGCAUGUGUUAAAGGUAAACAAGUAAAAAGUAGUUUUAAAACUAUUGAGUUUAUUUCAACUCAGAAACCUUUAGAGCUUCUUCAUAUAGAUCUGUUUGGUCCUGUUCAAACUGCAAGUCUAACUGGCAAAAGAUAUGGAUUUGUUAUUGUUGAUGAUUUCUCCAGAUUUACAUGGGUGCUAUUUUUAAAACAUAAAGAUGAAUCUUUUGAAGCAUUUCAAAACUUUUGCAAAAGAGUUCAAAAUGAAAAAGGUUAUAAUAUCAUCACAGUUAGGAGUGAUCAUGGAGGAGAAUUUGAAAAUGCAUCCUUCAAAACAUUCUUUGAUGAAAAUGGUAUUAAACAUAAUUUUUCUUGUGCAAGAACUCCACAACAAAAUGGAGUUGUUGAAAGAAAAAAUAGAACCUUGCAAGAAAUGGCAAGAACAAUGUUAAAUGAAUCAAAUGUUGAAAAUUACUUUUGGGCAGAAGCCAUUAACACAUCUUGUUACAUUUUGAAUAGAGUUUCUAUAAGAAAGGUUCUUAACAAAACCCCAUAUGAACUCUGGAAAAAUAUUAAACCUAGCAUAUCUUACUUUCACAUUUUUGGCUGCUAUUGUUACAUACUGAACAAUAAAGAAAAAUUGGGUAAGUUUGAUCCUAAAUCAGAUAAAGCUAUCUUUUUAGGAUACUCUACAACUUCUAAAGGUUAUAGAGUGUACAAUCUAAAAACCCAGACAGUUGAAAUUAGUAUGCAUAUCAUAUUUGAUGAAUAUGAUGAACAUUCUAAACCUAAAGAGAAUGAAGACACUGAAGUACCAACACUUCAGAAUGUUCCAGUUCAAAAUACUGAGAACACAGUAGAGAAAGAAGAUGAUCAGAAUGUUCAGGAUCAAUCUUUUCAAAGUCCACCUAGAAGCUGGAGAAUGGUAGGGGAUCAUCCUACUGAUCAAAUCAUUGGAAGCACAACUGAUGGUGUAAGAACCAGAUUGUCCUUUCAAGAUAACAACAUGGCAAUGAUUUCUCAAAUGGAACCCAAGUCAAUCAAUGAAGCCAUUAUUGAUGACUCUUGGAUUAAGGCCAUGAAGGAAGAACUUUCUCAGUUUGAAAGAAACAAAGUUUGGAACUUGGUUCCAAAUAAUCAAGAUAAAACCAUCAUUGGAACAAGAUGGGUUUUUAGAAACAAGCUUGAUGAAGAAGGUAAAGUUGUCAGAAACAAAGCAAGGUUAGUUGCUCAAGGUUACAACCAACAAGAAGGUAUUGACUAUGAUGAGACCUUUGCACCAGUUGCAAGGUUAGAAGCCAUCAGAAUUCUUCUUGCUUAUGCUGCACAUAAAAGCAUUAAACUUUUUCAAAUGGAUGUGAAAAGUGCAUUUUUAAAUGGUUUUCUAAAUGAAGAAGUUUAUGUAAGUCAACCACCUGGAUUCAUAAACAAAGAAAAACCAAAUCAUGUUUUCAAAUUAACAAAAGCUCUUUAUGGUCUUAAACAAGCUCCUAGAGCUUGGUAUGACAGACUUAGUACAUUUUUAAUUGAAAAUGGUUUUUCAAGAGGAAAAAUUGAUACCACACUUUUUAGAAAAACACACAAUACUGACUUGCUUAUUGUUCAAGUAUAUGUGGAUGACAUCAUUUUUGGUGCUACUAAAAUAAAAAUGUGUGAAGAAUUUUCCAACCUUAUGCAAAGUGAAUUUGAGAUGAGCAUGAUGGGUGAACUUGGUUUUUUCCUUGGUUUACAAAUCAAACAACAUUCAAAUGGAAUUUUCAUAAGUCAAGAAAAGUAUGUCAAAGACAUUCUUAAGAAAUAUAAAAUGAAUGAGGCAAAAAUCAUGAGCACCCCUAUGCAUCCAUCUUCAAGUUUAGAUAAGGAUGAGAGUGGAAAAUCUAUUUCUGAAAAAGAAUAUAGAGGCAUGAUAGGUUCAUUAUUAUAUUUGACUGCUAGCAGACCUGAUAUAGUGUUUGCAGUAGGAUUAUGUGCUAGAUUUCAAACAUGUGCAAAAGAAUCUCACUUAACUGCAGUUAAAAGAAUCUUUAGAUAUCUAGUAGGUACUACUGAUCUUGGCCUUUGGUAUAGAAAAGGUUCUAGUUUUGAUCUUGUAGCCUAUUGUGAUGCUGAUUAUGCUGGAGACAAAGUUGAAAGGAAGAGCACAAGUGGAUCCUGUCAAUUCUUGGGACAAGCAUUGAUUGGAUGGUCUUGCAGAAAGCAAAACACCAUUGCACUCUCCACAACUGAAGCUGAGUAUGUAUCUGCAGCUAGUUGCUGCUCUCAAAUUUUAUGGGUAAGAAAUCAGCUGGAAGAUUACUCUCUAAGGUACACAAGUGUUCCUAUUUAUUGUGAUAAUACAAGUGCAAUUAAUCUUUCUAAGAAUCCUAUUCAGCAUUCUAGGUCUAAACAUAUUGAAAUAAAACAUCAUUUCAUUAGAGACCAUGUUCAGAAAAAGAAUAUUGCAUUAAGCUUUGUUGAUACUGAAAAUCAAUUGGCUGACAUUUUCACAAAACCCCUUAUUGAGGAUAGAUUCAAUUUUCUUAAAGAAAAAUUGUUAAUCAUGAAAAAUCCCAAUAAAGAUUGAUUACUGAUCACUAAGGGCCUUAAACUAAACCCCUUGAUGUCAUCUGAUACAAAUCAGAUAGAUCCAUCUCAAUCCCACACUCAUCAGAAUGUUCCUGAGUUCAGAAUGUUCCUGAGCUCAGAAUGUUCAUCAGGUCAGAAUGUUCAAAUGAUCAGAAUGUUCAUUGCAAUAUUCAUAUGAUCAGAACAUUCACAAGUUUGUUCAUCUGAGUUUAUCCAUUCAUGAUGUUCUUGAAACUUUUUUUUCAGAACCCAAAUUCUGGGUCAAACAAUCUCAUGCGUGAGAUCUUGUUUUGACUUAUUCAAAAAAUCCCUCCAUAAUCUUAAGCAUUUAAUGCUUGGUUAUAAGAAGUCAUGUUUAAGGUUUAACCACCAUGUAAUGGCUUAACCAUCAAAUCAUCCCAAAUCCAUUCAUCUUCCCAAACGGCUACUUUUUCCUUUCUCUCUCCUAGGCGUUGCUUUUUGACAGUUUUUCAUCCUUCCCAAUGCUAACUGUCAUCAUAUCACUACUAUUCUUUUUCUCUUGCACGUUUUGUCUAUAUAAUCAGUUACCAACUCUGAUUAUUUCACUUCCAUCUCAUUUCCUAACCUCUCAUCUCUCUCCUCGCAAAAAAUUCAAACUGCUCUGUUCUUCAUUUUCUGAAAAAAUGGCUAGAACCAAAACUACCCCAAGACUUUCUGAAGAACAUUUUCAACCACCACCAUCCAACACCACUGCUGAUCAAUCCUCUGAUCAAACCUUGAAUCAAACUCCCUUACGCACCAUUCUUAAGGACAAAAUCAUUUCUGCACCCAAAACUCAAAAAUCCUCAAAACCUGGAUCUUCUAAAUCCAUUAGACCUAGAACCAAUCCUACCAGACGAUCAACAAGGAUGAAGAAACCUCUGAAGAAACCAAAGGUAUCUCACGUGAAUCUAGUAUCUGAUGAAGAGAAGAAAGAUUCAAGUAUUGCUGAAGAUUCUGAGGAAGAAACAGAGGAAGACCCAGAGGAAGAAGACUCUGAGCAAACUCUCUCUGAAUUGAUAAAAUCAGUGAGAGCAUCUUCAAAGAAAGGAAAGAAGGUUGCUACUCCCUCUCCCUCCAAAGAAAGCUCAUCAUCUCAGGAAGAGAGUGAUGAAAAUGGUGAAUCUGAAGAAAGCUCUCCAAAUGAAGAAAAGAGAGUUUCUUCAAAGAAAAGUGGAAAUGGAAAGGAGAUGGCCAAAGCUGCAGAAAAGAUUUAUCAAAGGAGAAAGAAGAUUGAGACUGAAGCUUUUUCUAUGUCUGAGGAGGAAGAUGAAUCUGAGGAGGAAAAAGGUUCAUCCAAGAAGCAUGGAAAAGGUAAGGACAUUGCUGUCUUAAGAGCAUCUAGGGCUGAGAAAAUUGCUCUCAGACCUAUGAGCAGAACCAAGUAUUUCAACCUUGAAAGUCUGGAAACCAAGGCAUGGAAUAUGAAGGAGUUCACUGAACCUCAAGGAUGGACCAACUUCAUAACUCUUCAAGAACACACCUAUGAAGACUUGGUCAGAGAGUUCUACUCCAACCUAUCAGUUCAGGAAAAGAAGAAUGGAAAUGAGAAGUUUCUCAUCUCAUCAGUCAAAGGUGUAAAGAUCAAGAUGACUCAGGAAUUUGUCUCUGAAGCAUUCAAAAUUCCUAAUGAAGGUAAUCAGCUAUACUCUAGUUUUUGGUUUGAUGAGUCUAGAGUUAACCGUAACAAACUCAUAGUUAAAUACACCAAAGAAAACCACACCUUUAACUCCACAAACCUGGAAGAUACUCCCAAAAUUCUUCACAACAUGAUUAGGCAUUGUCUUUUACCUAGAUGUGGAUCUUUUGAACUUGUCUCUGACAUAGAUCUUUGUUUCAUCUACCAUCUCAUGAAAAAGAUUAAGUUAAAUCUGUGUUUUAUCAUUAUUCAACACAUGAUUGAUUCAUGCCUAGCCAUAAAACAAACAUCUGCUGGACUACCCUAUGGAAUGCAUCUCACUUCCAUUUUUCAAAAGGCAAAAGUGCCCCUUGAAGGAGAGAAACGCAAGCUGGAUUUUAUGACUUUUUCUUCCAAGACCUUAGGUCAACUCCAUAUUACUUCAUCCAACAUGCCAGCCUCCAAAACUUCUGGACCCUCUGGAUCUGGUAAAAGAAAUUCUGAUCAGAAUGUUCAGAAAGCUGUGAAGAAAAGAAGGGUUGAAGAGAUUACAGAUACCAAAACUCCCUCUCCACCAGCAGAAAAAUUUGUUCUCUGAAGUCUCCAAGCUUGCAAAGGAGAUUGUUGAAGAAGGAAGCUCGCAGUUCAAAACCUUGAUUGGAGAAGAUGAUGCUCAGAAGGUUGAUGAUGCAUCUCUUCAAAAAGAAGCUGAGAAAGUCAAUCAAGCUGAGGAAAGUGAAGAAAUCCCUCAAGAUGCUGCUUCCAAUCCUGAUGAUCAAAGAGUUGAAGAAAAUACUGAGUUUGGUACUCAGAAUGUUGAUGGAGAAACUCAGGAAGUGGCUGAGCUCUUAGCUUCAAAUAUGAACAUUGAAGAAGAAGCUCAAGAUGUGGAGUUCUCAACUGGAUUUGAUCUCAAUAUUGAAGAUAUCAACACUGACUUCAAUAGUGAAGUGUUUCAAGAUGGACAAGAAACAACUCAGCAAGCUCAAGAAGGUCAGAAUGUUGAAAUUCCUGCUGUUCAGAAUGUUCAGAAGGUUGAAACUUCUGCCCGUCAGAAUGUUGCAGUAACUGAAGCCCAGAAUGAUGAAGAUAUUCAUGUCAUGGCUGAUCAAGACAAUCAAGAGCUUGAUGAUCAGCAUGCCUCAAAUGAACUUCCUCCAGAUGGCCAGCUGUCAGUUGAUCCCAUGCCUUUGGCAUCAGGAUCUCUGCCCUCUGAGGAGGUACAGCUCAUGGCCCAAAAUGGUCAGAAUGUUAACCCAUCAUCCUCCACCAUGGAUUCUAUUGCAGGUGCUACCAACUUCUUGGUCUCUGACCUCCCUACUCCACCUUUCAUUCCUUCAUCCACUCCACCACCACAACAAAUGAAGACCACCACAAGAAGCAAACUUCCAAACAUGGCUGCUUUAUUUGACUCUCUCAACACCUUUGUGUCUGCAAACAGAGAGCAAGCUGAAGCCUCUGGUCCUGCUGAACCUGCUAAGCCUUCAAGAGCAGAGAAGAUAGCCUCAAGGGCACUUAGAGUCUCCACCAAGACCCACAAAAUUGCUUGUGUGCUGGCUGACUGGACUGUCAAAGUCCAUGCUCCUGGUUUGGCCAUUCCACCUCCAGUAUUUGAUGACCCCUCCAUCUUUGAAGCAGAACCCUCUUCUGAUUCUGGAGACUCCACUCCAUGAAUCUUUUCAGAAAUCCUCCCUAUCCUUUUUGCAGAUGACAAAAGGGGGAGAAGCUUUAGGAUUCAAAGUCUUUAAGUUUUUUUUUAGUUAUAGGCCCUAAGUAGGUCUAGGUGAUCAAUUGAUAUUGGAAUUUAUAAAUUCCAUCUUUUGCUUUUGCUUGAUCACAUGCACUUUGAAUUUCUUUUUUGUUUUUGAACCAAAUGUAUCAUGUAAUGUACUUCAUGUCUUAUAUCAAUGAAUGAAUAUUGAUUUUGGUUCAAUCUUGCAUUUUUUUAUAUUAUGCAAUAUAUUAUGAAAUUGAGGGGGAGCUUUUUAAAGUUCUUAAAAACUCUGCAUAAUGGAUUAUAAAAAUGAGGGGGAGCAUUAAAAUAAAUUUUUAAGCUCUGUUAUUUUUCAUAUAUAUAAUCAAAAUCCUUAAUCCUAAAUCAUAAGUUUAUCAUCUUCAAAAAGGGGGAGAUUGUUGAGGCAAAAUCCCUAAUUAAUUUUAAAGAUAAUAAACCAAUAUGAUUAAAGAAUUAAUGGACUUUGAUUAAUUCCUUGGUAUUUAACUUGUGCUCUUGAGUGUUUUACUAAGACAGGAACAAGGUUUAAAUCAUACCAAGAAUCAAGAAAUCAAAGGACAUUUGAAUUCAUGAUCUAACACUGAGGUCAGAAAGUUAGAUCAGAAUGUUGCUCGAAGAUCAGAAUGUUCAGAAGCAACCAAGUUCAGAAGCAACCAGUUCAGAAGCAACCAGUUCAGAAGCAACCUAGUUCAGAAGGUUGUUCAGAAGCAACCUAGUUCAGAAGGUUGUUCUUAUACAAGCCAAGAAUCUCAAGAACUGUGAUCAAGGUCAUGCAAGGCACAUGUGACAUGAAUAUAUGUCCAGGAAAGUACAUUUGCAUGGAUCAAUCAAGCAAUAAAGGCAUAUACAAGAGUUAUGUCAAAGAAGGCAUUCAAUGUUCAUUUAAGACUAUGAACAUUGAUGUACUAGGAAUAUUUCACAAAGGAAUAUCAUCCUAGAUGUUAUCAUCACUGCUCUUCAUUAUUGUUUCACUAUUAGGAUUUGAUUACAUCAAAUGAUAGUCUUACAAAUCAUCCUAAGUGAAACAGAUGGAACAUUCUGAUGAUCAGAAUGUUCAAGCUCAGCUCAUGCUUACUUUAUGAACAGUAUAGUAGGUGAAAAGCAAAAAGCAAAAGCAAAGCAAAUCUGUCAUCUUUAACAAGAGAUAGACACGUCUGAGAGUUGGUACUGAACAAGGACAACACAAUCUCUCAAAGCAUGGGCAUGAAGAUGCAGAAUCCCACUAAAUCCUCCUGCACCGGUUCCAAGACAAAAUCUGGGAAAGGAACAUUCUGAUGUAUGAAGAAAAGUCCAUACAUUGGUUAUUGUCCAGAAAUUCAUAUGAAAAGCAUAUGCAUAGCCCAGAACUUCAUGUGUUCAUUCAUACAUGAUGAACCCAGAUGAAGAACGUGAUGAACCCAGAUGAAGAUCAUCAUGAACACAACAACAUUCUGAUGUUCAUCAGAGAUCAGAAUGUUUGCCCAGAAUUUCAAGUUAAAGCUUGUGGGACCCAGGACACAUGGCAUAACACCAUUGGACACCCUACAACGGCUAUAUGAGCCCAAGGACUCUAUAAAUAGAGGGCUUGGCCUUAGCAAAACUUGCACCAUUGCAAAGCAUACAAGAAAACAACUCUGAUUUUGUUUGAAGCUUUUGCAAACUGAAAUUGAUCAAUCUCUAAGUCUUUCAUCAACUUAGUGCAAAUCAAUACUCUUGUUAUCUGUAGGAUAACCUUUUCUUCUUCCUCCACUGUUUGUUUCACAAACACCCAACUUCCAUACAAAUUGUAACAAAGUCUCAUCUAGCUUUUAGAGGUCCUAAAGUGUUAGGUUGAGCAAAGGUUGUAAAAGUCUAAGUGGUUAACUUAGCAAGAAGGUGCAAGCCUGCUGAGGCUUAGAGAAUACAGGAUUGUAAUUGUUCAGGUGAACAAGAUUGUAAGGUGCAGGACUUGAGAGGUUAUCUCAAGCAUCUUAGUGGAAACUCUCACAGGAUUGUGGGGAGUGGACUAGCCCACAUUGGGUGAACCACUAUAACUCUUUGUGUGUUCUUUCUUUCUUCUCUAUACUCUUUUAUUUACAGUAUACACAACACACACUUACACUUAUACUUUAUUAAACAAUUUUGUUUAUGAACUUCAGAACAUUCUGAAGUCAGAAAGUUAACAUAAUUCCAAGUAAACAACUUGAGAAUCAUUUUUAAGUUUCAGGAUAAUUUUUAAAGGGUCACAAUUCAAACCCCCCCUUCCUUGUGACUAUUUUAUCUACUUCAUCUUCUUCUACCAACUUCUGGGUACCCAUAGAAACCUGUGAAAAUCCAAGCUUCUCCAUUAACUUCUACAAUUUUAGCACUGAUAUGAUUAGUUGAAUAAUUAGUAAUACUACAGUUAACCGUAUGGCGCCAAAAUAAAGCGAUACCACCACCUCUACUAUUUCUAGCAGGAGCGAAACAAGAAUCGUAACCCAACAAACAACGGAAUUCUUCUAUUUUAUUAAUUUCAACAAGAGUUUCAGACAAGAAAAGUAUGUCCGGUUUAUAAUACCGGACAAGGAAUUUUAUUUUUGGAAUUACUCGCGGGUUUCCCAAGCCCCGGCAAUUCCAGGCUAUGGUACUCAUUGACCUCGGCAGGCCUGGUUACCAGGUCCCGCCGUUUUGUCUUCAAAAAUUGGAUUAUUCACCACAGACAUAGUCUUCUGCCCCUCCUUAUUAGUGCCGCCUUCUUCAGCAAUUUCAGUUCUAGAUCUCUUUUUUGGUCCGGCUUCCUCUUGAUGGGUACCGGCCCUACUAGCUCCUCGUGCGCUUGCCAUAAAGGAACCAGGUUGCACAAGAUUGCGAGCCACAACCGGUUUGCGUGUCUUAGCUCCUUUAGCCCGGUUCAGCUGGCUACUAUUGUCUUUUGUAGCGACAAAAGUUGCACGAUAAUCAGCCACAUUAACCAUUGGAGAUAUCACUGUAGCUUGAUCAUUUGCAUCCCUGGGCAUCAGUUGUUGUAUAUUGUCCACUUUCUGAACCUGAAAUACAGCAUUAUUAGCAUUGAAAGAUACAUUGAUAGGAGCUGAUUCCUGUGCAAACAACUUUCUAUAAGCGUGAGCCGACAUUUUCUUUAGAGCCAUAGCUUGCUGGGUUGACUCCCUAAAUGUUUGUUGAGCAUGUGGGGCCAUUUGAUGAUUUGCCUUAAACACAACAACAUCACCUUGCUUUUCAUGUGCUAGUAGUGCGUGUCUCUCAAAUGGGCUUCUACUAUCCACCACUUGUGCCAAGUUCCUUUGCUUGCUGUCACGUGCAUCAGCUGUACCGCCCCCCACCUUAGAACUUUGGGGGCUGUCCCUCUUUUGGGCCUCCAAUUCUAUAAGUUUCCAUAAAGCUUCUGCGCCUCCCCCAUUUGCAUACAAAAACUCGUCCUUCUCAUUCAUGCCUUCAGCUAAUCUUUUGUUAACUUCAUCAGAUUUUGUUAAGUUAGGUGCAAAUAAUUUCUUACCAGACUGAAUCUCAUUCUCUUUGGGUUCGCUUGUUGUUAUCUCCGUUGGAUCGAUCUCCGUCCACCACCUCACUAAACCAGAACCAUCCGAUCUCUGACAUUCCAUGUAUUUAAAGAAGGUUAAUGCUCUUGUCUCGGCAUUUAUACCGACUUUAAUACGACCGUACAAUUUAUGAUUUGAAAUUCCAUUGCUAUUGGUUGUCAUUGAAUGACUUUGAUUAUCAUUAAUUUCAGCUCCGUCGUCCUUCCGGUCACCGGAAACUUUGCUCCGACCACCAAUUACCCAUUUGUUGCCCUCCUUCUGUCCACCACUGCUGGAAUUGUUUUCAGCUCGAAGGUAGGCUCCCCACCGCUUCACACCACUCGUUGAACCAGCUUCAAACUUGUCACUGCAGAAAUUUUCAGAGUGGCCAAUCACACCACAGACAAAACAGAACUUACCAAGCUUUUCAUAUUUGAGGAGAAGCUUGAUGUUGUCGCCUUCCUCUCUUUCAAUAACCAGCUCCUGCUGAAGCGGUUCCUCCACCAUUAUUUUAACGCGGAUCCGCAUGAAUUUUCGCCAGGGACCAUAGUUGUUUUCGUCAUCGAAUUUGAUCAUUUUUCCAACAUGACAGCCAACAAGAGCACCCACCUUGUCAUCCAUGAAUCCAAAAGGCAAUUGAUGAAUUUGUGCCCAAAUCUCCGUAGAAUUCAUAUCCAUCUUCAUGGGGUCCUCUCCAACAGCAACCUUCUGUAAUAUGAUCAUGUUGUUGUCGAGCAACCAGGGGCUACGUUCGAGGAUUCUGGCAAGGUCUGCUUGCGAGUACAACUGAACCAUAAAUUUGUUACCUUCCAUAAGAAUGAGGGUCAUCUUGUAUUUUGGUUCCCAGAUAGGGCCCAGUCUUGCCUCAAGCGUUGACAGAUGAAUUGGUUUGUUCACCACUAUUCGACCCACCAAGCAGAGAUCAAGCAAUUCUGCUUGAGUGAGAUUCGGCCUUUUGGAUGAAGAACCACUGUCACCAUUGAUGUUGAGAUUCUCCAUUUGUUUGAAUAAGAAAAAAAUAGCGAUGCUGAGAAAGAUUAAGGUUGGUGAGCUUUGAUUCAUAAGACUCUGAGUGAUUACAGACACAUGGGUAGUAGGCUUAUAAGACUCGUGACAGAAGGAAGAAAAGGGUAACCAAAUCUUCAUGAAUAAAGUUGAAGUAUUCAUACUUAAUAAGAUGUUAUGGAUACCAUAAAGGCCAAGAUACAGAGAUAUCAGAUCUGUUGACUUUGUAAUCUGAACAGUUACUACCAUGGACAAUAUGAAUAUUAAUUGUAUAAUUUUGACCACACAAUUCAUGAUUCAGAUCUGGUAAUAAUUGGGAACAAAACAGGAAAUCAACAAAAUUCUGGAUUGAUAUUAUGAGGACAAUCACGAAAAUCUUAGAGACACAGAUUCGAGAGAGAAGUUUAGAGAUUAAAACACUGCGAUCAGAUUAAGGAUAAACGAUCGGACACCAAAUUCCCACAAAGGACAGACGAGAGAAGAGACCUUUGGAGAGAACUAACUAACUUUAAAUACACAUUUAUUUACGGUUUAAAAAUGAUGAAUGGAUUAACUGUCAUCACGAUAUCAGAAUCCAAAUGUCAAUAGCUCCUUGAAUUAAACAACAAACUAAAAGCACUUUCAAGCAUAAACAUUCCGAGAAUUUCAUUGUAAAUAUCUGGAAUUUCUUUUUAGUUCUUACAAUUUUUCCCCCUUUUUUAUGUAUACUUUUCUUUCGGCAUUUUUAGUCUACGAAAAAUCUCCAUCAGCAAUAUUUUGUUAUGCCGUCAGCAUUUUCAUGGCAUAAAAAUGCUAAAGGAAAAUGUUAUACGACUAAAAAGUGCAAUUUUUUUGAAAGGACUAAAAAAGAAACUAUGGAUAAUUAUAGGAACAAUUCAUAUAAUUGACCCUCUUUAAUAAAUAAACAAAAAGGUAUAAAUGGGGAAAAUAUAAAGGAUUGAAACAUGACUGGAAAUAAAGUUAAGAGAUUGAAUAAACAAUUUUACUACACAUUCCGGUCUUAUUUAUAAUAAAUAAUUAAUUUUUUAGAUGCAUUGAAUAACUUAUGUAUUUGGUCUAGAAUUUAAACCAAAUACAUAAAUUAUUGAAUGUAUCUAAAAAGUCAAAUAUUUUUUUUUUUAAAAAGGAUCGGAGGAAGUAUUUUUUUUAAUAGAGUAUGAUAAUUUUCUUUUUUUUUUGGCGUGGGGUGGGGGUAUCAUGGGUAUUGGUGGCAAAUUUAAUUAAUUAUUGAAAAAUAAUUAAAAAAUCUUUACCAAAUCAUAAUAGGCUGUUUUCCUCAAAAAAAAAAAUCAUCAUCAUAGGCUAAGUAAACUAACGUAAACCUGCACAACGGCACCAACCAGAAAACCAUUCAUACGUUAACAACACCGAAACACUUGUUUCUCAAAUCCAGCUGUCCACGUCUCUGUGGGUCCCACGUUCCUUCCCUCAAUCUCUAUAAAUACUCCCCACUCCCUUUCAUCACCAUAUAUCAAAAUCUCUUCGACACCACAAACUUCUUCUUCGUUUUCUUCUUUGUUAAGUAAUUUUACAAUUACAAUGGCAUCAUCAUCAUCAGCUACCACAAUCAAGUUCUUCUUCAUUUUUGUCAUCGUAUUCGCCGCCGUAGCCUCGGCCCAAGACCUUAGUCCCUCGUUGUCUCCAGCACCAGGUCCUGACGUUGGAGCUGCCAGUUCUGCUACAAGUUAUGUGGCUAUGAUCGGAGCUUCAAUCGUACUGUCAAUGCUCGCUAUCUUCAAGAACUGAGAAAAUUGAGCCAUUUUGUUGGAACACUAUUAAUUAUUUUUUGAGACAUGAUUCUUACUCUUUUACUAUAUAGAUAUGGUUAUCACGAGUUCAUCUAUGUAUAGUGAAAGUAAGAGAGAUUUUUAUUGAAUUUAUUUAUGUAUUUAAUCAUUUAUUAUAGAUGUAGAAAAAAUAAAAUAGGAUAUUGGACUUCUUUUUCUUCAACUUUCUUCAUCUCUUAUAACUAUUACGGUUAAAGAAGUAUUUAGAAAUUUGUUUUUUAUCUCAAAUGCGCUCCAAUUUCGUUCGCAUCUCGAGAAACUGCAUGUCAAGUUGUGUAUUCAAAUGCUCAAAUCCAUCUGAAUCUCACCAAACCUCCAGUGUAGAUUUAUCAAGUGUUUGUUUGACCAAUCUUGUACCAAAAUUCCAUAUUUGUUUCUUGAAGUCAUGCAUUUGAAAUCCAGGACCAGGAGCAUAAUGUAGUUGCGGGUUAAGAUAAUAAGCUGCAACAUGCAAAGGCCUAUGAAAUAUUUUAUCCCAUCUAUCAUCAAUGAUGUUCAAAAUAGGUUUGUAACUACAAAGUAAAAAUAAUUAAGUUUUAACUUUUGGAAUUAGACCAGAUCACAUAUAACUAAAUAAAAUUAAACCAAACAAAGAUGUCUCCUUUUGACACCAUUAAAAUUCUUUUGAAUUUGCUCCUUUGCUUGAUCCAUUGCUUCAUAGAUGAAUCUCAUGGCUGGUUUUUUUAUCUGAGUCAACCAAACGAAGAACUUUUAUGAGAGGCGUCGAUCGCACCCCUCAAACAUAUUACAAUAUCCUUCCAAAACACUUUAUCCAAGAUCAUAUUUUUAAGAGCUUUCCUCUCCCACUUCUUCAACAAACAACCAUGUUUAUCUAUCAUAAAUUGAACAACAUUAUCCUCUCCCACUUCUUCAACAACUGUGUUUAUCAUCUCAAAUAUUUUUUUCAGCUAUUUUGUAUAUAUUGGAUGCAUAAACGAACUUCAAAAACACAGUACCACUUGGACUAUUCACCAAGAAGUUUAAAAUGUUCAUCUAUAUAUGAUCAGUCUAUCCAUCGAUCAUUAUUGUGCAGCUGGUUGUCUUUGAUUCCUUUAUAUGUUUUUCCAAAGCAUCAUUUGUCGACUUCACUUCUUGGUUUAACAAUUUAAUUCUAAGAUCAUGAUAAGACAGUGGUUUAAAUCCAUUACCAUAUCUUGAAAUCAUAUCACACAUGAUAUUGAACUCCUCACUCUUUGCUUGAUGAGAACCACAAGAUCCACUAUGUAUACUUUAAAUUGUCAAGUAUGCCUCAAUUUCCCAAAGACAUUUGAGUAUAACCUCCUCAUUAGUAUUUUUAAACAACCCAUUUCUAAUGAUAACAUAACUUAAGGCUCUGUACUUAGUCUUUCGACUAACUAUUCCUGAUUGAUUCUCAAGAUAUUUGACAAUUGGUUUUCGCCAAUCAUUGUUUGACAAAUUAUCAAUGACAAAAAUUUCAAAUUCCUCAAAACUUUUAGUUUCUCCCUCUGCCCCUAUAAGUUUGGGCAUUGACAAUUAUGUCAAGGAGAAAUUUGUCGAAAUUACUGCCCCCACAAUUUUGUCAAAUAAUCUUUAAUUGCGUCGAUAGCCUUUUGAUGAUUCUGCCCCUAGUUAAAACUGUCCUCUUUCUUCAGUCGAAGCAAUGGUGAAAAAGCUUCUAUUUUGCCACUUAAGUUUGAGAUAAAUAUUCUUAAAAAGUUGAUUUUUCCCAACAAAGACUGGAGUUCCUUCUUGGUCAAAGGGGGCUUGGUUUCCAAUAUAUUUUAUUUUGAUUGAUCUUAAUGCCCUUUUUAUGUACAACGAAACCCAAGAAGUCACAUAUACGCACACAAAAGACCCGUUUUAGUGGAUUCAUUUUUAAUCUAUGUUUUCUCAUUCUUUCAAAUGAUUUUUGAAGGUGGCCUAAAUGACCAUCUUUCGAAAAAGAUUAAACAACAAUGUCAUCAAUAUAACCUUGCAUAAAAUCUUCAAUAAAAUUAUGAAACAUUGAAUGUGAAAUCAACAUUUUGCAGGCCAACAUGCACCACUACCCAUUCAUAAGUGCCCAAGACCCCUAAGCAACAAAAUGUUGUUUUUGACACAUCUUGUUCAACAAUAAAAAUUUGAUUAUAACCAGAGUAACCAUCAAACAUACUCAAGUAUUCAAAUCCUAAUGUUGAAUCAACUAGCAUUCUGCCGCUGGCAUAUGAUAUUCAUCCUUUGGUGUAACAUUAUUUAAUUCCCUAAAAUCUAUACAAAUUCUAAGAGUCACAUUUUUCUUAAUUACAUGAACAAUAUUAGCUAAGUAUUCUCAUACCUUGCAGUUCUAAUUAACUUGCUUUUGAGGAGUCUUUCGAUUUCCUCUUUGAUCUUCGACAUUAUAUGAGGUGCAAACACUACCUACUUAUUUCAGACUUAUCUUAGAUUGGACCAUGUAUAAUUGUUCAAGGAACACCCUUUCUAGUCGAUUCCAAUUAUGAAUUGAAUGUAGUGAAAGUAUGUGAUGAGUCAAUUAUUAUCUAUUUUUAUAUGUUAUUUAGUUUAGUUUUAAUUACAUUUUAUUUUAUUUUAUAUUAGUAUUAUUUCUUUUUUGAGUUAGUUUACUACAAAUUGCAUUUUAUUAUAUUUCAGGAACGAAUAUUGGAUGGAUUGAAUCUUGGAGCAAAAGAAAGAGACUUGGAGCUGAUUUAGUACGAAAAUACGAAGAUUCAGAGACAAAAAUACGUCUCCCCAAAGUCAGAAGCUUGGCACGGCUCGUGCUAGCAUUGGCACGACCAUGCCACCCUCCAGAGUCACUUUUGCUGCUUUUGCUUAGAUUUUAAGCUACUCUAUUUUAGCCCGCAGUUUCUUGUGGAACAUUCUAGUGAUGUAUUUGCUUAGAUUUUAAUUCGAAUGUAUGCUAUAAAUAGAGUAGCUAGCCAUCACAAAUAUUCAUCUUUUCUUGGAAUUCAAUAAGUGACAAUUGCUUUUCUAAUAAAAGUUCUUUUCUUUUCUUUUACUUUCUUGUCAUUUACUUUUAUGCUUUCUCUCUUCUUCCCCAUGUCUACGAUGAACAUGAGUGAGUAGACUUCUCCUUGUCUUGAGAUUGUUGGAUAAGUCUAAAUGACAUAAUCCUAAUCAAGCCAAGCUCUAAGCCUUAAUCUUAUGUAAUCCUAAUUUCUUAUCUAAAUUCACCGCUUUAACAUGGAUCAACCAUUAUCAAACUGUGGAAACGAAAGUGGAGGGUUUGAUAAUUGUUUAUCCAUUAUCUCAAAUAUCAAUUCAUAAAACGAAAGUGGAGCUUUGAUAUUCGAACAAGUGAAUUUAGACAAGGAUGGCAAGGGCAACGAAAUAGUCUUUGCAAUCUUUGAGACAUAUAGUUUCGAUCUUCAAGGGAACUAAUAAUGAUCAAGUCAGCGAAAUAGGCUUGGUUGCUAGAGGAACAUAAGAGAAACUGUCUUGAGAAAUUAGGUCUAACAUAAAGUUAUAAGCUUAUAGUUUGGUUUGUGAAGGACUUGUCAUUUAGAUGAACAAAUGAUCACAAGACUCCUUUUAUUAUUAUUAUCUUUCAAUCGCUUGAAAACCCCAACUUACAACUCUUUUCUCAUCUAAUCAUUAUCAAAGGUUAAUUGAAUUAACUACUCCCUGUCGGAACGAUACUCUUUUCAUACUACUUCGGUAAGACCGUUCACUUGCGGUUUUAUCUCAUCAGUAUGGUGUAAAAGCAUUUUUUGUUAGAGAAUUUGGGAAGUAUUUCAUCUUUAGAUUCUCAUUAUUGGCAAUAUCUUCUGCCUUAGUCAGAUAACGUGCAAUAUGUUCGACAAUAUAUUCACUGAUGUCACCAACAAAUUUUGUGAACUUAGGGAUUUUCCAUUCCCUAGAAAGUUCAGUUUGUAAAACAUAUAAUGACAAGGCUGAAACAAAGUUAGGCCUAUGCAGGCCUAAAUUAAGGCUAUUUUGAGCCAGAAUGGUUUUGACCAAAUUGGCUAUGUUAUUAUGUCCUCCUAAAUUGUUUUGUUGGACAUCUCUAACUACAACAUCAGCAACCAGGCCAAGUCACUUGAGGGUUUUUAACACCUUCCACUUGGGUUACAGGUUUGACUGGAUGAGCUUUGGGUGCAGGCCGUUGUCCAUGAUUUCCCCUCAUUGUUUAGCCUUUCAUUUAUUUGUAAAGGCAUGUGAUUCUGGACUUGGGGAACUUGUUGAUUCUUACUUGGACAUGGGCAAAGAAAUAUGCUAUUCUCCCCAUUUGGGUGGCUAACGCUUGAUAACUUUGGUUUGUGUUUUUAAUCAAAGGAUUGAACACCGUACUAAUUUGUUGUGUUAACAUAUUAACCAUUUCAUGAUUGCUUUCAUCCAUCCGUUUUCUUAAAGAAUUUAAAGAAUCUGCUGCGAAAGAUGGUAGAGCAUUUCGACCAGGCAUGUUUGAUCCUGAAGGCAAAUGUGUAUCAUAUGGGUAAACACAUUAUCAUUGUCUACAUAUGUGGAUACAUUGGUUUGUAUGCCAGCUAUCCUUGUUGUUGGCAUGCCAUAAGGAUACUCCAUUGUGACCAUGGGCAUAGUGAAUUGUUCCAUGGAAAGCAAUAUAUUUUCCAACGAAAUUCAAAUUUGAUGAUUAGUGUCUCUAGACGUCAAAGGGAAAGUUACUGGUGGUGGCACGGAAGCCACCAGAUUUGAUUAUGUCAUUGCAGCUGUUGUCGAAAUAGACACGGGGGCAAUUACACCCAUAAUGGUCGAAACUGGCAUGGGAGUAGUUACUCCAAUAGUAGUUGACACAUUAUCAUUCAAUGUAGGAGUGGAUGCUUAGGUAGAUUGUGGAUGUGAAGAUUAAGUGUUACUUUGUGUAGAUGAUGCAGAAGUACCACUAGUACGGGACGAGCAAUUUCAUUAAGGGCUUUGUCACUUCUUAAAUACAUGAGGAAAAUAACUAGCAGACUAAUGGCUAAAAACUAAAUCCUUUCGACAUCUUUGGCAUCCUUUCCACGUGUAUGGACAUUUAAUCUUGCCUCUUCAGAGAAUUUGAAUCUUGUAUUGUCGAAAAUACACCCUUGUCGAAUCCCAUUUUUGUCGAAAUCAUCAAACUUCUGUUUUGGACUUAGAGAAUUCUGCAGUCUUAGCUUCCACCUUACCUGUCUAAACAAACACUUUGACAAUACAGUCUAACAAUUAUGACAUACAUAUACAUAUACAUACGGGGGUUGCUAACUUACUCUCAUCCAAAAUCAUGAAGGAGUAAGUUAGCAAGUCUACUCCCUACGAGUAUGUUAGCAAUGCCUACUCCCACUUGUUUUUGACCAAAAAACCUUUCAUACUCACACUCAAAAACAUGAAGGAGUAAGUUAGCAAGUUUUCUCUCACUUUGGGAGUAAGUUAGCAAAUCUACUCUCAAUUUAGGAGUAAGUUAACAAGUCUAUUCCCACUUUAAGAGUAUGUUAGCAAGCCUACUCCUGUUUAAUUUUAGAUAGAUUGAAUUGAUUUUUCAAUAAUAAUAUGUGUGAGAGUUGGUUUGAUAACUUACUCCCAAGUGAGGCUUUAUACAUAUACAUAUAUAUAUAUAUAUAUAUAUAUAUAUAUAUAUAUAUAUAUAUAUAUAUAUAUAUAUAUAUAUAUAUAUAUAUAUAUAUAUAUGUAAUCAUAGGCUUAGAAUUUACAAAGCUAUUUUUAAACUUAAUUGUUAAAGCUAUUAUGAUAAGAGGUAUGGUAGAAGAGAAAAUGUAAUACGCCCAUGGAGAUACAACUAAAACAAAAAGAAAAAGAUAAUCUAAAUAAUAUGCAUUGUUGUCUUAUUUAAUUAUCAUCAUUUUACAAUACAAUGAUAAUCUAAGUAUAUGCAUUGUUGUAUAUACUUUCUUAGGUCUAGCACCAAAUGAAGGAUUUCAUAUGAGCACAUAAUAUUUUUCAUUUUUCCCACCGGCCGCACCUUAGUGGAAUGCAUCUACACAAUCCACCCACACACUUUGGUAUUUGAUAAACCUUGCACAUGUUACGUGGACAAUUACCAUCAAUAAAACAUGGAUAAAACUCUCUAAUAAAGAAAUAGAAUGGAAUUUGUUUACGUUUGAAGUUUGUUGCAACCAUAAAUUCGGAAAGAAAGAUAAUCAUACCACAAACAAAAUUGACAAUUGUAGUCAUGUUUCCCUCCUUUUUUUUUUUGUAAUAAAUGUAACUUUAUAAUUUCUAAUGCUCAUUUUUCGCUUAAAUCAAAUAAAUAGUUAUUUUCUCUUAUGAAGUUGUAAAAAAUUAUUCUUAAUAUUAUAAUUAUUACAAUAUGUUCCUUAAGUACAUCAAUGUGUCAUAUUUGUCCCUUUAGCAUAACAAAAAGAUAUGUCACAAUUUUUUUUUAUUCUUAAUAUUUUAAUUAUUACAAAAUAUCUAUUAAGUACAUUUGAUCUCUUCGAGAACAUAUCUUAUAGGUGACAUGGUUGUGGUGCUCCUGCAGCAGAGGUACCACACUUAUAUGGACGAUUUGAAUGCAACCAUUCCCCCAUGAAAUAGUUGGGUUAAGGAAGACGUUAGAUGUCAGGUCAACGGAAGAGAUCGGUUUCGGGAAAAGUUUUCGUGUGGUUAGUGAUGAUAUGUCAUCUUACGUUAUUUUCAACAUGUUUUUCGGUCAUUUUAGGAAUCAAUAAAGAUGGGUUUUAGAGAAGUAUCACAUGGUUAAAGUCACAUUUUGUAAUGUAUUCAAAUCGAGUUAUGUAAUUAUGUUUCUCCUCUAAACAAGACAAUUAACCAAAAGAGAAGACUUUGAUCCUCCCCCUUGGCUUAUAAAAGGCUUUCAAGAUGUUGUCAAUUAUUAUGACCUUUGCAACCUUCCCCUUGAUGGAUACCAAUGUACUUGGUUUAAUAGUAUGUGUAGAAGUUCUUCUAAAGAGGCUAGACUUUAUAAUGGUUUUUGCACUACCUCGUACCAGAAAAUCUACCCUCCAAACUUGAUCUUGCUCACGUUGUAAAGAUCACCUUUUUAAGAUCACCGGGUUGAGUAAUGACCAGAUCACCUUUUUUAAGCAGACUUAAUUGUUGGAACAAAAUGUGUUUCACAAUAAACCUUAAUAAGUUUUGAUGAUAACAAGGUAUUAAAAAUUGUCAAUUGGUUAUUGCUAAUGAUUGUUCAAGUGUACAGGACCAUAUGCAAAGUCACUCAAUUUCAAUAGGUCUUGGAAGAACAAUGGAGAGCAAAAGAAUCCUAAGCAUCUGAAGAAAACUGCGUCUGAAGCCAAGAAAUGCUUUUGAAGUGACAAAGUGCCUUUGAAGAAAUGACGUCAUCAGAAGCAGAAGAUCAUCAGAAGCAGAAGACCAUCAUAAGCACAAUUUCAUCAGAAGCUAUAUCAUCACCAUAAGCUUCAAGUGAACAGUUAAUUUAAACUGAAGAUUCAAAGAAGCUGUUUUUCGUUUCAACCUCGUCUAAGAGAACGAAGAAUUGAAAGGGAGGUAUCAACGGUCAUUUUAAAAGCACUGAGUAUUUGUCCUUCAUUAUCAGAGUUGACAAAGUACAAGUGUACAACCACUACCUCCACUACUCUGUUUUUGUCUACGCUACAAGACAAGACAACAGCCAUGCCUGCAGAAAUGUUCCUUCAAGAUGGGAAUGAAUUUGAAGUCGAUUCUUCAAAGGACUACACCCAAAUCAGGCAAAAGAUUACUGGUGGAUGAUCAAAGGAACUCAACGACUCUUUAGACGUGCUAAAAAUAUCAACGUCUCUUUCACACCUCUAUAUAAAGGAGUGAGGACUUGAAGAUUGGCAAGAGACAUCAAUACAAGUUAAAAGCGCCAAAACUCUGCCAAAUUUGAUUCUACAAAGCACCUUGAAUUUCUGCACUGAUUUGAUACAUCUUAGAAAUUCACAAGUCUAGAGUCUUUAUUGCAUUGUAUUGAGAAAACCACUGAUUGUAUAUCAAGUGUUCAUCAUCAAACAUUUUCUCUGUAUUUUUGUUUGAAUAGAAGCCUCUUGCCUGCGUGCUUGAGCAUUAGUAGACUCUUGCUUUAGUGCUUGAGCAUUGGAAAACUCUUGCCUGCGUGCUUGAGCAUUUUGAGAAGUCUCAUACUUAGAGAGUAUUGAGCAUUUGUAAUCUUUGUGAUUAUUAGUGAAAUCUCCUUGGAAGUGCAAGGGGGACUGGACUACUUCCGAUUUGUGGAAGGAACCAAAAUAAUUGCUUGUGUCUUUCUUUCUUUUCUCUGCUCUGUUUUAUUCCGCUGCAUAUCUGAUUCUGAACAUUACAUCAGAAGCACUCCUAACCUGCUUCUGAAGUAUUAUCAGAAGAAGAAUUUUUAGAGAAAAAGAAAACACAAUUCAACCCCCCCUUCUUGUGUUUUUCUCACCUUCAAUUGGUAUAAGAGCUUGUUCUGUUAUCAAAGCACUUAACCGUGUGACAGAUCAAGAUCCAAGAAAAACAUGUCUGCUGAAGAGGAAUCCACUCCAAAAUACAAUAGUGUCAAACAUGAGAAUGAUACUGCUGACAAGAAAUCAGAUUCUGGAAAAGCUCCAAAGUUCAGUGGAGAUCCAGAAGAGUUUUCAUGGUGGAAAACCAACAUGUACAGCUACAUCAUGGGAUUGGAUGAGGAGCUAUGGGAUAUUCUUGAAGAUGGAGUUGAUGAUUUGGAUUUGGAUGAAGAAUGAGCUGUUAUUGACAGAAGGAUACACACUCCUGCUCAGAAGAAACUCUACAAAAAGCAUCACAAGAUCAGAGGGAUCAUUGUUGCUUCUAUACCUCGCACUGAAUAUAUGAAGAUGAGUGAUAAAUCCACUGCUAAGGCAAUGUUUGCAUCACUCUGUGCUAACUACGAAGGUAGCAAGAAGGUUAAAGAAGCAAAGGCAUUAAUGCUAGUUCAUCAGUAUGAGCUGUUCAAAAUGAAGGAUGAUGAGAGUAUAGAGCAGAUGUACUCAAGAUUUCAAACUUUAGUAUCUGGACUGCAAAUACUGAAGAAGAGCUAUGUUGCUUCUGAUCAUGUUAGCAAGAUUCUGAGAAGCUUGCCUUCUAGAUGGAGACCCAAAGUAACUGCCAUUGAGGAAGCUAAGGAUCUAAACACUUUAAGUGUUGAAGAUCUUGUCAGUUCCCUCAAGGUACAUGAAAUGAGUCUUAAUGAGCAUGAAUCCUCUAAGAAGAAUAAAUCUAUUGCUCUACCAUCUAAAGGAAAGUCUUCUAAGUCUUUCAAAGCUUACAAGGCCAGUGAAUCUGAAGAAGAAUCACCAGAUGGAGAUUCUGAUGAAGAUCAAUCUGUGAAGAUGGCUAUGCUGUCUAACAAGCUUGAAUAUCUAGCAAGGAAGCAGAAGAAGUUUUUGAGCAAGAGAGGUGGUUACAAGAACUCCAAGAAAGAAGAUAAAAAGGGAUGCUUCAACUGUAAGAAGCCUGGACAUUUCAUUGCUGAUUGCCCUGAUCUUCAGAAGGAGAAGUCAAAGAGCAGACCUAAGAAACCAAGUUUCAGCUCUAGCAAAUUCAGAAAGCAAAUCAAAAAGAGUUUGAUGGCGACCUGGGAAGAUCUGGAUAGUGAAUCUGGUUCUGAUAAAGAAGAAGCAGAUGAUGAUACAUAAGCAGCCAUGGGGUUAGUGGCAACAGUAUCAUCAGAAGCAGUAUCAGAAGCUGAAUCAGAUUCAGAAGAUGAAAAUGAGGUCUAUUCCAAAAUUCCCAGACAAGAACUUGUUGAUUCUCUUAAAGAACUUUUAUCACUAUUUGAACACAGAACCAAUGAGUUGUCUGAUUUAAAAGAAAAAUAUGUUGAUUUAAUGAAACAACAAGAAACAACUCUAUUGGAACUGAAAGCUUCUGAAGAAGAACUCAAAGGGUUUAACUUCAUAUCAAACACAUAUGAAGACAGACUCAAGAUUCUUUGUCAUAAGCUACAAGAAAAAUGUGAUAAAGGUUCUGGCAAUAAACAUGAAAUUGCCUUGGAUUAUUUUAUAAUGGCUGGCAUAGACAGAAGCAAAGUAGCUUCUAUGAUCUACAACAUAUACAAAAACAAUGGCAAAGGGAUUGGAUAUUCUGAGGAGAAAUCCAAAGAGUACAGUCUAAAGAGCUAUUGUGAUUGUAUUAAGGAUGGAUUGAAAUCCACCUUUGUGCCUGAGGGUACUGAUGUUGUAACUACUGUUCAGUCAGAACCUGAAGCUUCUGGUUCUAAGGCUAAGAUUACAUCAAAGCCAGAAAACCUUAAGUCUAAGGUUAUGACAAAAUCUGAUCCUAAGACUACAAAGAUCAAAAUUCUGAAAAGAUCAGAACCUGUUCCUUAGAGUCUGAUUAAACCAGAAUCUAGAAUUCUAAAGUCAAAGAAUCAGAAGAACAAAACAGUUACUGCUUUUGAGAAAACAAUACCAGAAGGUGUUAAACCUAAAGUAUUGAAUGAUCAGAAGCUACUUAGCACUCAACCCAAGAUACAAGGGAGCAAAAUUAAAACCUCCAGAACUAACCCAAAAGGACCCAUGAAGAUAUGGGUACCUAAAUCUGAAUUGAUAAAAAAUGUAGGUAUGCCUAAGGGCAAGAGAGAAACAAAGGUCCUGGUACCUAGACAGCGGGUGUUCAAGACAUAUGACAGGAGAGAAAGCUUUGUUCCUUACCCUUACCAUGAAAGAUGGAGGAGAAGUGAAGUUUGGUGGCAACCAAACUGGAAAAAUCAUUGGUACAAGUACUAUUGGUAAUUCCUCCAUUUCAAUAAAUAAUGUUUGGCUUGUAGAUGGUCUGAAGCAUAACUUAUUGAGCAUCAGUCAAUUUUGUGACAAUGGGUAUGAUGUUAUGUUUAGUAAGACCAACUGCACACUAGUCAACAAGGAUGACAAAUCCAUUACCUUUAAGGGAAAGAGAGUUGAGAAUGUCUAUAAGAUUAAUUUCUCUGAUCUGGCUGAUUAGAAAGUAGUUUGCCUUCUGUCAAUGAAUGAUAAAAAGUGGGUAUGGCAUAGAAGGUUGGGACAUGCUAAUUGGAGAUUAAUUUCUAAAAUCAGCAAGUUACAACUUGUCAAAGGGUUGCCUAACAUUGAUUAUCAUUCAGAUGCACUAUGUGGUGCAUGUCAGAAAGGAAAAAUUGUUAAAAGUAAAGAUUAUGCAUGUGAAGUGUUUAGCAGCUUCUGCAUUCAAAUACAAUCUGAAAAAGAAAUGAAAAUUUUGAAAGUCAGAAGUGAUCAUGGUGGAGAAUUUGAAAACGAGCCAUUUGAAUCUUUUUGUGAAAAACAUGGGAUUCUCCAUGAAUUCUCUUCUCCUAGAACUCCAUAAAAAAAUGGGGUUGUAGAGAGAAAGAACAGAACUUUACAAGAAAUGGCCAGAACCAUGAUCCAUGAAAAUAAUUUAGAUAAACAUUUAUGGGCAGAAGUAGUUAAUACUUCAUGUUAUAUUCAAAAUAGGAUCUAUAUCAGACCUAUGUUGGAGAAAACAGCAUAUGAACUCUUCAAAGGAAGAAGACCCAAUAUCUCUUACUUUCAUCAGUUUGGAUGUACUUGUUACAUUCUAAACACUAAACACUAUCUAAAGAAAUUUGAUGCCAAGGCUCAAAGAGGAAUCUUUUUAGGUUACUCUGAAAGGUCAAAUGCAUACAGAGUGUAUAAUUCAGAAACACAUUGUGUUGAAGAAUCUAUGCAUGUUAAAUUUGAUGAUAGAGAGCCUGGAAGUAAAACUCCAGAGCAAGUUGAAAGUAAUGCAGGUACAAAUGAUUCAGAAGAUGCAUCAGAAUCUGAACAAACUUCUGAUACUGAAAAGAAUUCAGAAGCAGAAUCAAGUCCAGAAGCUGAACCUAAUCCAGAAGUUGAGUCAAGUUCAGAAGCUGAACCUAAUCCAGAAGCACAGAAUGAAAAUGCUUCUGAGGAUAUUCAAGAUAACACUCAACACGUGAUUCAAUCGAAAUUCAAGCAUAAAUCUUCACAUCCUGAGGAGCUAAUCAUUGGAAGCAAAGACAGUCCUAGAAGAACAAGAUCUCAUUUCAGACAAGAAGAAUCUUUGAUAGGAUUGAUGUCCAUAAUUGAGCCAAAAACUGCUGAAGAAGCUUUAUCAGAUGAUGGAUGGAUAUUAGCUAUGCAAGAAGAGCUAAAUCAGUUCCAAAGGAAUGAUGUGUGGGAUCUGGUACCCAAACCUAACCAGAAGAACAUUAUUUGAACAAAAUGGGUAUUCAAAAACAAGCUGAAUGAACAAGGAGAGGUAACCAGAAACAAAGCUAGACUUGUUGCACAAGGUUACAGUCAACAAGAAGGCAUUGAUUACACUGAAACAUUUGCUCCAGUUGCAAGAUUGGAAGCAAUCAGGUUACUUCUAUCCUAUGCAGUUAAUCAUGGCAUAAUAUUAUAUCAAAUGGAUGUCAAGAGUGCUUUUCUUAAUGGUGUCAUUGAAGAAGAAGUGUAUGUCAAACAACCUCCUGGAUUUGAGGAUUUUAAGCAUCCUGAUCAUGUUUACAAACUUAAAAAAUCACUAUAUGGCUUGAAACAAUCUCCCAGAGCUUGGUAUGAUAGACUAAGUAAUUUCUUAAUUAAAAAUGAUUUUAAAAGAGGUCAAGUUGACAUAACACUCUUCAGAAGGACUCUUAAGAAAGACAUUCUGAUUGUGCAAAUAUAUGUUGAUGAUAUAAUAUUUGGUUCUACUAAUGCAUCUCUUUGCAAGAAAUUUUCUAAGUUAAUGCAGGAUGAAUUUGAAAUGAGCAUGAUGGGAGAAUUAAAAUUCUUUCUUGGAAUUCAAAUUAAUCAAAGCAAAGAAGGAGUAUAUGUUCAUCAAACAAAAUAUACAAAAGAGCUUCUGAAGAAGUUCAAGCUAGAAGAUUGUAAAGUGAUGAACACUUCAAUGCAUCCAACCUGCACCUUAAGCAAAGAAGAUACUGGAACAGUAGUAGACUAGAAGCUAUACAGAGGUAUGAUUGAUUCUCUGUUAUACCUCACUGCAUCUAGACCAGAUAUUUUAUUCGGUGUAUGCUUGUGUGCAAGAUUUCAAUCAGAUCCUAGAGAAUCUCAUUUAACUGCUGUUAAGAGAAUCUUCAGGUAUCUGAAGGGAACAACUAAUCUUGGACUCCUGUAUAGGAAAUCCCUAGAUUAUCUGUUGGUUGGAUUCUGUGAUGCUGAUUAUGCUGGUGACAUGAUUGAAAGAAAAUCAACCAAAGGAAAUUGUCAAUUCCUAGGAGAGAAUCUGAUAUCCUGGGCAAGCAAAAGACAAGCAACAAUUGCUAUGUCUACAGCAGAAGCAGAAUACAUUUCAGCUGCAAGUUGUUGUACACAACUACUUUGGAUGAAACAUCAGUUGGAAGAUUAUCAAAUUAAUGCUAACAGUAUUCCCAUCUUUUGUGAUAAUACUGCUGCUAUUUGUUUGUCAAAGAAUCCAAUUCUACAUUCAAGAGCCAAGCAUAUUGAGAUCAAACACCAUUUUAUCAGAGACUAUGUUCAAAAAGGAAUUUUAGAUAUACAAUUCAUUGAUACUGAGCAUCAAUGGGCUGAUAUAUUUACAAAGCCUUUAACUGUUGAAAGAUUUGAUUUUAUCAAGAAAAAUUUGAACAUGCACUUUGUGUCUGACUAAGAUUUGCUUGCCUCUGAAUAAGAAGUUUGGUUCUGAAGUUUAUUCAGAAUCUUUGGUCCAUCAGAAGCUCUUAACUGAGGUUCUGAGGAAAAUGUGCUUCUGAAGAUGACGUCAGCACUAAAACUUCAGAAGCUGUAUUCUUUACUUCUGAAUAGCAAGGCUAGUGGGAUCGUUGCAGUUACGUUUUAGUAACACCUGUCCCAUUAACCAAGGUUAUUAGUCUGAAAAGUUUCUGACGUGGUCUAUUUGUAUUGGAGUAUAACAAAAAGGGCAAUGAUGAAUUAUAUGCUUUUAAACGUACUAACACGCGCCCCCAAUUUGUCAUUAAUGCUUUGUGUGUUUGUCCCUUUUGAAUUGCAAACGUUUUUACUAAAAACACUUAGACAAACACACACUACUCACUUCACAACUCACACUUUAAUUUCUUCUCCAACCUUCUCUGCGAAGUAAUCAAAAACCCUAGAAACCCCUUUUCCUUCUCAAUCAAUCAAAUGGCUUCAUCUAGUUCUGCUCCUGGAUCAUCAUCUAACAAGCAACAACAAGAAGCUCCUGCCUACGAGAUUAAAGGAAGAACCAUGUCCUUGGAGGAAUGGGACUUGAGAAUCCAGACUGAAUGUCCGGUGGAUUUUAACUCAUUAGCUGCUCACAACUGCGACAUUGGCAAAUUCUACGACGCUCAAGGCUUAGGAAGCUACUUCAACUUUUUAAAUGGUACAACUUAUCAAACGUUGGUGCAUCAUUUCUGGGUCAGGGCCAGCAUAUAUGACAGAGAAGUUGCAAAGGUUGAAGAAGAUGAAAAAGUUCUUCUCAAUCUAGAAUUGGAAGGUAAAUGAAGAAAGGAAAUGAUAUUGGAACCGUUCUCUCAGACAGAAAUUAGGUCAAGCAUCAUGGGGAUUCCAGUUCGUAUUUCAGAGGAUGUCAUUGCUUUCGUUCUCAGAAGGCCAGUUACAGGAGAAUACAAAGCUGGUAUUACGAAAGUCAAGGAGAGCCCUUGGAAUGGAGUUGUAAAUCAGACCCUCUACAACAACCCAAUCAAGGGAACGUAUUCUGAUAUGAAUGCUCAAACCAAAGUGAUGCUGAAGAUUCAGAAUGAGAAUCUGCUAUCAAAAGGUGGUGGUAGUGAUCAGCCCUCUUUGGAGCACAAGAUUCUGCUUCACUUUUUCAUAACCGGUGUGAAGGCAAAUGUGCCCAGAUACAUUUUCAGGCACAUGGUACAACAACUCAGAGAGAGCAAGCUGAAGAAUAGGUGCUGGGUGCCCUAUGGGAGGCUUCUCUCUGAAAUCUUCCAUCAAUGAGGUAUUCUCAAACUUCUGAACGAAGUAGACUUCUUCACUGAUGAACAGCUUGGAACUGUUAGAGGAAAAAUCAUCAAUGCAGAAACUCUGAGGUCCAUGCAUCUGAUCAAAGCAAAGGAUCUUAAGAAGCUAAGCAUAGAUAUGACAGAAUCUGAUGCUAAAUUAGCCGUGAUUCCUAACUUUCCUCCUAUCUGCAAACAAGACCCUCUGGAUGUUCAUAUGCACUACUUCAGAUAGCACUUUGAAAGAACAAAUGUCAAAAUCAGUUUGAAGGAAGUGCCUGAACAAAUGUAUGGAGGAGCUCUUCCUGUUGCCAAGAGCAGGAAGACAAAGAGCAAAGCUUUAACCAAGGAAGAUGAUCUGGUAGAAGAAGCUACAAGAAAACCCUCCAAGAGAUCAAGAAAGGCUGAGAAAGAGACUGUUGCAGCACCUAAGCCUAAGAAAGGUAAAACUGUCAAAACUGAAAGUUCUACUGUUUCUGCUUCUGAGGAAGUCAUUCAAAAGAAAAGAAACAGAGAGCCAGAGGUUCAAGAUGCUGCUAGGGAAGCUGCUCUUCGUGAAGAUGCCACCAAAAGGGAAGCUGCUCUUCAAGCUAUCAGAAGCAAAAGAGCAAAGGGAGAGAGAAGCAUUCAGGAGCGUAUCAGGGAAGCUGCUGAACAGCUAAGAAAAGAAGAAGCUGAUCCUAGUUUGAAGAAGGCUCAGAAGCCUGUAUCCUUGGAAUCACCUUGCUUCAGACUCACCCCUGAGCAAGAAGAAAGGACCAGAGAAAUUGCUGCAAAUGGGUUAGCUAAAAGAAGGCAAAUGACUGAAAUCUACAAGAGGAACAGAGAUGAACAGCUCAAAGCAGCAGGGUAUGAGCUGGAUGCUGAGAAAGCUGCGGUAAUUGCUUCUUUGGCUGCUGAGAUUGAAGAAGAAACUGUUAGGGAAGGAGCUGCUUUGUUAAAGCAGGCUCUGAAAGCUAAGCAUGUCUCAGGAGCAACAUCUUCAGAACCAGCAUCAGAAGCUCCUAAAUCAGAAGCUACUAGGCCAGAAGCUCAUCCUUCAGGUAUUCCUUCUGUUCCGAAAGCUUCAGUCAAUAUUCAGACUCCUAUCCUUCCUUCUUCACCCUCAUCAUCAUCAUCAUCAUCAUCCACUAACUCAGAUGACAUUCCUUUGAGUCAGCACAUCAAACAAUGCCUACCAAACUUCAAACCUUCAACUUCAACCUUUCAAGAUGACUAUGAGCAGAUGCAAAUCCAUUUCUCUGAACAGAGGAUAAAAAUCUGUGAAAACUUGAAUUUGUCUGCUGAUCAUUUCUUUCAACCACCCUUAGUCGAACCUUUAAAUAUCCAACAUCCUGAAACAACCCCAACACCACAAAAAGCCUCUGAAGUUGCUCUAGAAGCAGCUACUUCAGAAGACCCCCAACAACAUGAAACCUCAACCCUUCACAACUUUGAAAAGCAUUUAGGAGGUGAAAUGCAACCAACCUCCACAAAGGCCUCUAAAACAGUCCCUGAAAAGACUGUCUUAGAAAACCAACCAGAAACAUCAACCGUCCCUGAGCAAAGUGUUCCUGAACAUACUGUUCCUGAAAAAGUUGUCUCUGACCUACCCCAACCCAACACAGAACAACAAACAGAAAAUCUUAACCAUUCACCAACUCAAAAUCAAACUAUCCCUGAGCAACAAACUACCUCUGACUAGCCUUCUUCAUCUCAUACAACCUCUAUUCCAGAACCUUCAACCAUUCCAGAACCAAUACCCAUCCCAAAUACCAUCCUUGAGUCUGAAUAUAUUGAUGAAGAGCUUCAAAGGAUGUGUGAUGAAAUUCAAGGACUUAUUCUUCUCAGAAAAGUUGCUUCACCUUCAAUUAACUACAUAGAUCAAUGGAUGAAUCUGAAAGCUGGUUUGAAGAGAGAUUUCGCUGAGUUGCUGGAACUACUUAGUGAAAAAUGCAUCACAACUCAUGAUGAAUUGCUGAAGAAGAAAUUGGAAGAACUUCACUCUGCUGAGGAAGAGAAAGAGCAAGACUCUGUGCUUCUACUAGCUAAUGCUCCUUUCUUUCCAGAAAGUGAUUAUAUCUCAAGAGGAGACAGAAUUCGUCAAGGGCUGAAAAGGAGGCUUUUAGCUAAGAAUGAAGAAGCUCAGAAGGCUAAGCAGAAAUCUGAUACUUUGGAAGAAGUAGUGAACAAGCAAGCAGAAGAACUCAAGAAUCAGUCUGAGCAGAUCAAAUACUUGAUGGAACAAGUAUCUAAACUAGCCAAACCAUAGUUGCACACCAAUUUUUUACUUGUUUAGAUUUUGUUCUAGUAUUAACUUGUUCUAAUUGUGUAUUUUAACUUGCUUAUCAUGUACAUUUCAUUGCUUCUGAAACAAUUGUUGUUAAUCAUUUAUUCUAAUUACCAUUUUUGCUCUGAUUAUGCUCUGAUACGUAUGUUCAUUACAGUUUUUCUUAUUUAUUGCACAAACUCUUUCUUUUGUUUUAUUUACUUUUUGUUGAUGACAAAAGGGGGAGUAGUUGUAUAGUAUUUUAAGGCCAUGAGCCCCAUUAAAUUAACUUGAUUAAGUUAACUUUUUUCUCUGAACCAUUUUUCUAAGCUUGGUAUUUUUUUAAUACUUCUGAAAUUUCAUUAUCUUGUGCGCAUUAUAUUGAAAUUUAAUUAACGAGUAUAGAACUUAGGGGGAGCUUACAAACCUCACCUUAAAGAUCUACUAGACUCAGGGGGAGCUUACAAACCUCUUACCUAGGAGUCAACUUGUUAAUUAGAUCAACAACAAUUGAACAUUUUAAAUAUUAUUGUUUGUCAUCAUCAAAAAGGGGGAGAUUGUUGGACCAAAAUGUGUUUCACAAUAAACCUUAAUAAGUUUUGAUGAUAACAAGGUAUUAAAAAUUGUCAAUUGGUUAUUGCUAAUGAUUGUUCAAGUGUACAGGACCAUAUGCAAAGUCACUCAAUUUCAAUAGGUCUUGGAAGAACAAUGGAGAGCAAAAGAAUCCUAAGCAUCUGAAGAAAACUGCGUCUAAAACCAAGAAGUGCUUCUGAAGUGACAAAGUGCCUCUGAAGAAAUGACGUCAUCAAAAGCAGAAGAUCAUCAGAAGCAGAAGACCAUCAGAAGCACAAUUUCAUCAGAAGCUAUAUCAUCACCAGAAGCUUCAAGUGAACAGUUAAUUUAAACUGAAGAUUCAAAGAAGCUGUUUUUCGUUUCAAUCUCGUCUAAGAGAACGAAGAAUUGAAAGGGAGAUAUCAACGGGCAUUUUAAAAGCACUGAGUAUUUGUCCUUCAUUAUCAGAGUUGACAAAGUACAAGUGUACAACCACUACCUCCACUACUCUGUUUUUGUCUACGCUACAAGACAAGACAACAGCCAUGCCUGCAGAAAUGUUCCUUCAAGAUGGGAAUGAAUUUGAAGUCGAUUCUUCAAAGGACUACACCCAAAUCAGGCAAAAGAUUACUGGUGGAUGAUCAAAGGAACUCAACGAAUCUUUAGACGUGCUAAAAAUCUCAACGUCUCUUUCACACCUCUAUAUAAAGGAGUGAGGACUUGAAGAUUGGCAAGAGACAUCAAUACAAGUUAAAAGCGCCAAAACUCUGCCAAAUUUGAUUCUACAAAGCACCUUGAAUUUCUGCACUGAUUUGAUACAUCUUAGAAAUUCACAAGUCUAGAGUCUUUAUUGCAUUGUAUUGAGAACACCACUGAUUGUAUAUCAAGUGUUCAUCAUCAAACAUUUUCUCUGUAUUUUUGUUUGAAUAGAAGCCUCUUGCCUGCGUGCUUGAGCAUUAGUAGACUCUUGCUUUAGAGCUUGAGCAUUGGAAGACUCUUGCCUGCAUGCUUGAGCAUUUUGAGAAGUCUCAUACUCAGAGAGUAUUGAGCAUUUGUAAUCUUUGUGAUUAUUAGUGAAAUCUCCUUGGAAGUGCAAGGGGGACUGGACUACUUCCGAUUUGUGGAAGGAACCAGGAUAAUUGCUUGUGUCUUUCUUUCUUUUCUCUACUAUGUAUUAUUCCGCUGCAUAUCUGAUUCUGAACAUUACAUCAGAAGCACUCCUAACCUGCUUCUGAAGUAUUAUCAGAAGAAGAAUUUUUAGAGAAAAAGAAAACACAAUUCAACCCCCCCUUCUUGUGUUUUUCUCACCUUCAUUAAUCUCUAAGCAAUUCUAAAUAUUUUUUAAGAGCUUACUCGUUCGCAAAAUGGGUACCCCAAGGGUACACCUUUGGAAGUCGCCUUCCUCAAAUUAUUAUCCAAACAAUGAAAUUCACCUAAAAGUAUUUGAAUUCGUUCAAAACAUUCCCCCAUCCAAACACACUCUUAAGAUUCAUAUACGAAGUUGGCGCCUUUAGAUGACAAUUUAGGAAUCUUAAUUCUUGUACGUUCUGGGCCGGCUAGACCAAGGAGCAUCAGACCAAGGCGAAUUGACCAAAGGAAUACACUAGCAACAUUGUAUCCUACCCUACUGGAGCACACCCCCGUGCAUCAGACAUCGUACGCAUGUUCUCCAACGGCCUUUUGAUGAGGGGUUGCAUCCCACGAAGACAGUUAUUCACACACGCCUAUAUAAGGGCGGCUUAACUUCAAUCCUGAGGUAUGAUUCAAUUUUCCCACACUUUUCACACAUUCCAUCUUAUUUUCCAUACUGACUUGAGCGUUGGAGUGUUAACGUGCCUGCAGGCACCUUUCGUCUCAUCGCCACCCUAUCAGAGCACUUUUCGCCAAUGUUGUCUCCAUCAGUUCCUCACCGAAUAAAUCAUUUUAUGUUUCAAUUACCUAUGCAAGAGUAAGGCCCCACUCUAGUACUCUAUGUGUAGGCAUACUAGAUCUUGUAGGAUUGACGACCCUGCACCUUUUAUAGCAGGUAUAACCUUGGAGUGAUCAGCAGGUGAACUCAACAGCUGAAGGGACAUACUUCCCCACUAACUCAUCACUUAAAUAGAAUAGUUGUAUUAUAAAAAUGUUGACUUGUCUUUAAUCCAACAAUAAAAAAUAGGGUAUUUUAAGAAUCCUAACCGCCGAUAACAUUCUACAAUUAAACCAGGUUAGUAACUUACUAAUGUUUUUCCCAAUCAAAAAAACUUGUAAAAGCCCCCUAAUUUAACACAUUUAUUUAUAUUUGUUGUUUUUAUUAUUUAUUCUAAAUAAGCAACACUAGUUGGCAAGUUGAAAUGACAAUUCCUAUGGAAAUGAUGAAAACUCAAACACACCUUGUUGAAAUAACAUGCUUCAUAUUUCAGUGUUGGAGUUGAAUUUGUAUGCGUUUUCUGAUGAGGAGAAAUAUAUAGGGACAUGAUGAAAACUCAAACACACCUUAUGUGACAUCUUGGAGUUCAACCACUACUAUAGAAAUGAUUUUUUACAUCAGUUGAAAAUGAUUUUUCGCAUCAGUUUGCAACCGAUGUAAAGUGAUAUGAUGUGCUAAGUCCACAUCCUUUCAGAUCAGGCUGCGGCUGAUGUGAAAUCUUAAAUUUCUACAUCAGGUCCACUUCCACUGUUGUAAUAGACGAACUUUGAAAUUUAAACACUUAAGUGAAAUAUGUAUAUUUCACAUCAGAUUUCAAAACCACCGUAGUGAAAUAAUUUUUUAUUUUUUUUAAAUAUUUGUUUUAAAUGGCUUAUCAAAUAAGCUUGACACAUGCUCUUUUCUUUUAUAUUAAUAAAAUGAAAACAAAUUAUGAAUAAUUUUAAUGCCAAAAAAAAGUUAUAUUAUCUAAUUGGAUAUUACAUAAUCAAUCCUCAAUUUUCCAUGUCAAUAUUCUAAUCUAUAAAAGAGUCAUAUGAAUACAAUAUAGCUAGGAAUAUUCCAAUAAAACAACUUUAGGCAGAAAUUUGAAACAAAAAAAAAUCCACAGCAGAAUCAUCAUUGUAAAUAUGCUAAGCUUCAACUGCAAAAAGCAUCUCAUCUCAUCUCAGUCAUAAGCACCGACAAUAUCUCAUCUCAGCCACAUCAUAAUCAAUUUUUCAACUGCAAAAAACAAAAUCAGUUGAAAAAGUUAUCUCAACUACAGAAACGCACUUGAUACACCAAAACCACCACGCAUUGAGACAGCUACAAGUCCGUUCAAAAUUCUACUCUUUCUACAAAUGUCAAAUUAUGAGAUUGGCUUUGAAACAUACCAUGUAACUCCUAAGCUUUAUACAAGUCAAGAAAACAAGUUGCCCAUUGGUUUCGCAAAUCAUAUAAGUCGUCUUCAGUUAAUGCCAUUGGAUCAUUGAAUACCUACAAUGUGUAGGUUAAUAUAAGGAAUUAAUAUUAAUAAGGAUAUGUUUAUAUUUGGCAAUACAUAUAGUAUAAACAUGUUAUUAUAAAAUUAAAAUACCUCCAUCUAAGACUUAGUAAUAUUAGCAGAGAUGAUAUCUAGCAUUUUCUUCAUCACAUAGUAUUCACAAUCAUAUUGCCAGUAGGUUGCUUUCUUGGCUACAAAUGAAUGACCAUUUUUAUAUAAUGAUUAGAUCAUAUAAAAAAAAAAAACAAAUUUCAUUUUUUAACGUAAAAAAAAUGACAGAAUCUACACCAUACUUACUUUGGGAUGAAACCAUUCAGCCUUCUUUCUAUCACUAAUAUCACUAAUGUCCCCAAAUAAACAUAGCUUUAGUUCCAAUGAUUAUAAUAUCACACCGCAAUAAAUCACAUAGUUAAUUUACAAAAAGUUGCAUUAUGAAAUCUUGUAGUUUUUCUUUUCAAUUUAAGAAGAAAAUCAAGUCUCUGGAACUGGAGUCAAAGUAUGAAUCUGGAACUGGAGUCAAAGUAUGAAAUCAAUAAUAUCUCCAGAACUUACUAUAAACUUAAUUAAACACAGAUUCCAUAAUAAGUAAACACAUAAUUAUAAGUAAAGCAUCACGAUUGAAAAGGGUUAGGGUUUCAAGAUUCUUUUUUUAACAGCAAAGGGGUUAGGUUUUCACGAUUGAAAAGCCACCGGAGGGAGGGAGAGAGAGAGAGAGAGAGAGAGAGAGAGAGAGAGAGAGAGAGAAUGAGCAGCGACGGUGAGAGGUUCUGAUUGAGCAGUGACACUGAGAGAGAUAACUCACCGGAGAGAGAGUGCUUGAGCAGCGACGGUGAGAGAGAAAACUCACCGGAGAGAGAGAGAGAGAGAGAGAGAGAGAGAGAGAGAGCGAUUGAACAGCGACGGUGAGAGGUUCGAUUGUUUUUUUGGCUGAGAGUGAGAACUCACGAUUGUUUUUUACGAUUCAGUGGAUGUGUUUUACGAUAGAGGGAGGAAGGGAUAAGGUCAACGUGAAAAUUUGUUUUCCCUUCAGGUAGUUUUCACCACUGAGAAAAAAGUUAGCCAAAGUUUUCACUUAAAUUGCAAAAAUGCCACCGCGUUUUUUUCCCUUCAUUUCAACACUCCACUGAUGUAAAUGUUAUAUGCUAUUAGGAAUUCCCUUCAUGUACUUAUGUCAACUGAUGUAAAAACUAACAGCGUGUAUCUUUCCCUUCAAAUAUUUUUCGUGUUGAUGUGAAAACUAAAACAUCCUUAAUGUUAAAUGUAUAUUUUGUAGUAGUGAACCGACCAAAUAAAACAGUUGUAUUUACGAUUUACAAUACCAUGGUGAAAUACAAUAUUGGCAAACUUUAUUAACUAAAGCAAUAACUCACAUCUUGUUAUAUCAUUGGGUAAAUUUUCAAAACAAAUUCAUAAAUUUAGCUCAUAUUCCUCCCAAAAAACUUUAGCUCAUAUUAUAUCUGAAAUUCUUUCUCUUUUAUUUCUAUUAGUAUUUUUUAUUUAGUUAAAUACUCUUUGGUCACUAUAUAACUAAUGUAUCUGACCUAUAAUAUUGUACAAAUACAAAUAAAUCGGUUAUUCAAUGAAUCUGAAAAAGAAAUAUUUGCUUAUAAAUAUGACCGGAGAUAGGAUACUUUAUUUUUUAAAAUUAAAAAAUAAAGUACCGAAUUUAAAUAACAUUUGUUUUGCAACUAAACUUAACCAAAAUGUUGCAAAAAAUUAAAUAAAAAUAUAUUUUAUAAGACCAACAAUAUAUUUAAUCACUUUUAUUUUGAUUUUGUCUCUGCCUGUUGAUACAUCCUUUACGAUUAGGGACAACUUUGGUUAUGUUUCUAAGAUUAUUGUGUGGUAUGAGAUAAUUUGGGACUGUUGGUUCAAUAAUGAGAGCAUUUGUUAAGAGUUUGAUUCAUAUUGUUCAAUUUGGAGUAUUGAUUUUGGCUAGCUGAUCUAUAACCAUUUCAUCUGGUUUGCUGGUAGAUUCAUAGCAGAUUGUCAAUAAGGUUCGUUUUGAGCUCACUGUCUAAUAUGUUACAUAUGUAUGUUUUGAAUUUCACUAGCUAGUUUUUAUUCUUCCAAGGGUGUGUUUCUCUACAUCCCGUUAGUAGAGCUCAUUCUUUUUCAACCUUAUGAAACUUUGGUGUAUUUUUUUUCCCUUCUUUUCAUCUAGCAGUGACACAGGAUUGAAUCCCUCUCAAAUCCUUCAAAACAAAUGACCUCUUUUUAAUAAUAAAAAAAUCGGUUCAAUUAAAGGACUUAUUACAUCAUUUUUAAAACACCAAAUAUAAAAAAUAUAGCACUGCACCGCUUAACUUACAGGUCUUAAUCUAGUAUAUUUUGAAGUGUGAAAAAACUCACAAACGUAACUGUAUUAUGACAUAUAUACAUACAUACACAUAUGCUGUUAACUUACUCUCAUUAAAAAACAUACAUGAAGGAGUAAGUUAGCAAGUCUACUCCCACUUAGUUUUUACCAAAAAACCUUUCAUACUCCCACUCAAAAACAUGAAGGGAUAAGUUAGCAAGUCUAGCUACUCUCACUUUGAGAGUAAGUUAGUAAGCCUACUCUCACGUAGUUUUAAAGGGAUAAAAUUGAUUGUUUUGCUAAAAAGAAAUGAUAGUUGGUUUGUUAACGUGCUCAAUUUUUCACCAAUAGAUCGAAUAUAGUAACCUCACAAAAAUGUUUGCUACUAUAUAUUUGGAAUGAUGAAAGUGAGUGUAAAUUAGUGAGGUGGAUGUAAAUAAUUUGACAAAAUUUAUAAAAAAGUGUGUAUAUAAUCAAAUGGGUGUAGGUUGUUAACUUACACCUUAGUGCUUUUAGGUGGAUGUACUUGCUUGUUUACACCUUAGUGUUGUUAGGUGGGUGUAAAUUAAAUUAACAACCCCAUAUAAUAUAUAUAUAUAAUCAUAGACUAUAAUUAACAAACAUAUUUUAAACUUAACUAUUAAAGCUAUUAUGAUAAGAGGUAUGGUAGAAGACUUUCCAUUUUUGAUUGUUAAAAAAAAAGGUAUGAUAGAAGAGAAAAUGUAAAGCCUGAAUUGAAGGUCAUGGAGAUAUAUCUAAAACAAAAAGAAAAGAAGAUAAUCUAAAUAAUAUGUAUUAAUGAUGUGUUAUUUAAUUAUCAUCAUUUUACAAUAUACAAAGAUAUAAUUACAAGGUUCUUGAAAUUAAAAAAAAAAAAAGUUUAUUAGGUGGAAAAGAAAUAACUCAAUGAAAGCUCAUGAAAAAUUCUAGCAGAGCACCAAAUGAAGAAUCAUACAAGCACAUAAUAUUUUUCAUCUUUCCCAUUGGCCGAACCUUAUUGGAAAGCAUUUACACAAUCCACCCACACACUUUGGUAUCUGAUCAACCUUCUUGCACAGAUCACUUGGACAAUCAUCAUCAGUAACACAUGGCCAAUACUCUUUCAUAAAGAAAGAGAAUGAAAUUUGUUUGCGUUCAAAGUUUGUUGCAACCGUAAAUUGAAAAAGACAAAUAAUCAUCAUACUACAAACAUAAUUGACAAUUGUAGACAUGUUUCCCUCCUUUUUUAUUUUUGUAAUAAAUGUAACUUUAUAUUUUUUUUUUAAGUGUAACUUUAAAAUUUCUAAUGCUCAUUCUCCGCUUAAAUGUAUAUUUUUUCUUAUGGAGUUGUGAAAUAUUAUUCUUAAUAUUAUAAUUAUUACAAAAUGGCCCGUAAGUACAUCAAUGUGUCAUGUUUGUCCAUUUAACAUAACAAAAAGAUAGGUCACAAAAAAUAAAUUAUUCUUAAUAUUUUAAUUAUUACAAAAUAUCUUUUAAGUACAUAUGAUUUGUUUGAGAAUAUAUUUUAUGAGUGACGUAGACAGCAGAGAUUUAACACAUAUAUGAACGAUCUGAAUGCAACCAUUGACCUAUUGAUCAAUGUGGGUUAAGGAAGAUAUUGAGUGUCAGGUGAACAUAAGAGUUCAGUUUGGGAAAGUGUUUUUGUAAGCCCUAUAUUUUUUUUUAUCCAAGACAUUAUGUCUAUUUGUUUCUUAUUAGAAAAACACUAUUGUUUUUAUUUUAUUUUUAUUUAACAAUAGUCAUCAACACUAAAUUCCUAACAAAGAUUCAAAAAGAAUUUCUUAAAACAAUCAAAUUUGACACCUUCGCCCUCGAGUCACAUUAAAAACAAAUUAAUAAACUUCAAAAUCUAUUUUAAUUACAACACAGCAAAACCUAAAUAUCUUCCCCGCGUAUGUGCUUCAAGUAAAAACAUCAAGACAUACAUCAUAUGUUCUUUGGUACCUAAAAUGUUGGUUGUAAGGGUUAGUCUUCAAUAUCCAUAAAAUAAAAUCAAUAAUAAAUUACAACAUCAAAUAAGAAUAUACAACCAUCAUCAUGAAAUUUUGCCCUGUUUGACAUAUAAUAAUGAAUCGCCACAUUUGACACUUAAAAAUCCAUUGAAUUGCCCCAUUUGACACUUAAAAAUCCAUUGAAUCGCCUCAUUUGGCACCUAGAACACAACUGAGGUCUUAGGGUGUAGAGUUUUAGUUCCUGGUUGUUUACGAGUGUUUUUGGUAAACAAAAGUGCCAGUUUUAAAAGACUACGUUCUUGAUCAAACUACAAAUCCUAUGACAUGUUGUGCAAUGUUCUUUUCUUCCAGAAAGUGUUUGAAUGUUCAUCAUAAUUCUUAAGUUUGAAUAUGAACAAGAAGAAGAUUAAGGUGUUAUUCGACAUGAUCAAAUAAGGUUUUAUUGAUUUGAAAAUAAAUUUGACUUUGAAAAUGAAAACAAAGAAGUUUAAAAGAAAUUAAAUUGCAUUGUAUUAACAAAGAUGGUUCAUCAAAUCAAACAUACAUUGUCUAGUUACUCUUUUCUCUCUAUAAGUUGGAUAGUUUGAGCAUGAAGAAUUCUCUAUAAUAUUUGUGACCCUUCAUUCCUAUUAAAAAUUACUAUAUAACGGUCUUAAACUAUAUGUCUUCGACAGACUUGGACUGUUUUCCACGUGUCUUGGACCUUUGAUUUGGCCUCUUCAAAAAGGUUUUGAAUUCAUUCCAGACGAAUUUAAAAGACUUGGAACUCACAUAUUGAAUCUUGUCGAAUGCAAUUGAUCCUUAACUUGCAUAUGAAGAAUUUUUCAAAUACAACUUUUCCUGUCGAAAAUAAUCAAUUGAAAAUACAUGCUAACACCGGUCCAGCUUUCAAAACUAAGAUCAAAAUCCAUUGAACAUUGCAUUAGAGCCGAAUUAAGAAUUGCAAUGUUUAAAUUUGACUUAGAAUCUAUGUGUGAGGAUAUAUAUUUAAAGUUAUAUUGGAAUGUCAUUAUUACCCAGGUUCCAAGACUCUUAAAUGUACACAUGUGUUUGAAUAUCUAUAAUUUAAAUUAACUUUUACGAGUAAGAUUCAAGUUUAUUUAAUAGAUACAUAUAAUAAAUUUUUGUUCAAAGUGUUUUAAAAUUUUUGAAUCGAUGAAAUCCAAUAUUUUUAGUGAAAUAAUAUCCAUAGUAAUUUAAUUUCAGAGGUACUCUUGAUGUAAACUUAAUCCCUAGUCAUCUUUAAACUUUAAAAUAAUCAAUCUUAUUAGUUGAAAAUUUCUACAAAUAAUUGUAUUAUAUUCUUAGAACUUAGAAGAGUCCAAGUCAAUUUUAAAUAAUAAACGUUGGUUCUUAUGGCCGUUGAGUUCUUCAAAGAAAAAGCAAACAUAAUCGAUCAUUCUAAUUGCUUCUUUAACAAAAGUGAACACAUUAACACAGCUCACAAACGUAUACAAACAUCUAACGGCCAACCCAUUCAUAUGAUAUGUCGGCAUAAUUGUUUCUCAAGCUCCAACUGUCCAUGUUAUCUGUGGGCCCCACGCGUUUCUCCAAAAAAUUCACCUCUAUAAAUUCUCAUAUCACCCAUUCAACAUACAUAACUUGCAUAACUUUACCUUAGAAUCAAUUUCACAAAUUUUCAUUCUUUUCAUUUUCAAUUUAUAACUUCCUCUAUUCCAUAAUUUUGCAAUGGCAUCAUCAGCUACAACAAUGAAAUUCUUCUCCUUCUUUUUCGUCGCCAUGUUGGCUGCCUCUAUCGCCUCGGCUCAAGACCUCAGCCCCUCGUUGUCUCCGGCACCAGGUCCUGAUGCCGGAGCAGCUGGAUAUGUUACAAAUUCAGUGACUAUGGUUGGAGUUUCAAUUGUAUUGUCAAUGCUCGCCAUCUUCAAACACUAAAAAAUUAUGAUUCCACUUAUUUUCUUGUGGAUUUCAUGGAAGUAGACAAGCAGUAUCGACUUGUUCUGCUUAAACUGCUGUCUUGUGGAUAGUGAUGAUUACUAGGAGUUUAUCUAUGUAUUUUUGAAAGCGUGAGAUAUUUUACAUUAUUUGUUUUUACAUUUCAUUAUUUAUUGUAGGUGUUAAAGAAAAAUAAAAAGGACUUUAGGAUCCUUGAGUUAAUAUUUUUGUGUGUAAUAUAUAAAGGAUGAAAUUUUUGCAUUUUUCUAGUUAAUAAUUUUAAAAUCUUUUUAUUUUAUUUGUUCUUUUAUCUUUCAUGAUCAUUUAUGUUUCGACACGAUUCACACGAAUAUGAAAAAUAUUAAACAAGUUGUUUAUUCAAGAAAUACUUAAUGUAUAUUUUUGUCUUUUGUCUUUUGUCUUUUAUGUUCAAUUGUAUUUUAAUUUUUUAAAAGAACCCAAAUUUAUAAUAGAAAUAAAACAUUAAGCCCUUCAAGAAAAAAUAUUAAAAUUAAAGAUUCCAAAGAAAAUAAUGGAGAGAUGAAAUUCAUAUAACGAAUCAUACAUUUGAAGUAUUGAUCUCCAAUUUUAAUGUGUCUAAUAGGAGUCAAAAUAGGUCGGUAUACGGAACCUACGGUCAAACUUACGUCAAGUUAGUUAAGCUUUUUUUUUUUUGUUAAACAAGACACGUUAGGGUUAUGACUAAAAUGUAAUCCUAUGACAAAUUACAUACUUUGGCUUUAAUUUAACUUGACCUAACCUAUUCCUAUACUUAUUGUUCAACAACUUAGCAAUAAAAUUGAAGAUCAAUUUCAUGUUUCUUUAAUUCUGCUCUAAUUUUCCCAUGUAAGUUAAAAAAAAAAUUCUCCAAGUUAAACCUAUUUAAUCUUUCACUUUUAAAUUUUAAUUAUCAUAGAGUCAUCUCCAUUUUUAUUUUAUUUAAUAAAUAAACUAUGUUAAAAAGUCCUAUAUCAGAUAAGAAAUGACAUGAACUAGUGUUUAUAAGUUAGGAUAAUUCUUCUCACUUUACAAGUCUGUUUUGUGAAGUUAUGUUAAAUUCAAUCACAAAUUCUAAAAAACACGGACUUAUUUUGACUAGUAAAGCAUUGCAAUAUUUCAUGUAUAUAAUUAUAGGUUAGGAUUUAGCCCCUCCAUUUUUUUCUAGUGUCAAUUUUUUUAGAAGUUUUUUGUGAGAAAUAUGAGAUAAUAAUAGCUGAAGUUGUAAUAGAAAAAAGGUAAAUCAUUUCAUAAAAAAUAAUAAAUUUUUGUUCUAAAAAAAUCAUUUCAAAAUUAUAUCCAUUAUGGACAAAAAAUAAAACAAAAAAAAUUGUGAGGAUGAAAACAUUUCAUUUUAUUUGUUAGGGACGAAAACCAAAGUUUGAUAUAUUUAUAGAGACGAAAAGUUUAUUUAACCCUUUGUUAAUCUUCUUGAUAUGUGUAAAUUAUAAGUUGAAUACAUCAAUUAAAAUGAAACCGAGUAAUAAAUAACUAGCUCGCACGGAACUCCAAAACUUAUAAAAUUAGGGACAUGUUUAACUUAAGGAAAAUGUUAACUAGUUCCUCUGUGACACUGAUUUAGAAAGCAAAUAUGGUAAAAUAAAAAUAUAAUUCACACACAUAAUCACCACAUUGGUCACUGUUGGAGGGUAGAUUUUAGAAGAAGAAGAAAAAAAUUAAAUACUCAAAUUUGAUUUAAAAUUUUCAUUGUUCGAUCUUAAUCUAAUGGUCACUAAAGUGAGGACUAAAUGAAUGCGAAAUUUUAUUGACAACACGGAAUCAUAACUCGUUUAACCUGCACCAAAUCGACCUUUUUCACUUUAAAGUUUAAACUUAAGACUUGCAUUUUUGUACGCUUAUUUUUGUUUUGUAUUUUUGAGAGCUAAUUUUUUAAUCCGAUAUAUCAAUUUUUCAAUUACUCUUUUUAUUUAUAUUUUAUUCGAAUGAAGUAUUUUUCUUUAACUAAUCACACCCUAAAGUAUCUAUGAGAGCCACAAUAUAUAUUUUUUUUCUUUUGCAUCAAACCAAGAACAAAGAUCUAAAAAGACGAAAGGUGCAUGUUGUGCAAUCAAAAACCAAAAACAACUCACGUUAAGUUGUUGCCAAUUGCUAUUACCCACAUUUUUAUCAAAUACUUCUUCCGUCCCAUAAUAACUGAGACAAUUAUUAAAAAAAAUGUCCUAAAAUAACUGAGUCGUUUCACUUUUCAAUACAAUAUUAAUUACUUUUUUUUCCCUUUAUAAUUUCAAUUAAUAUUGUUUUCAUCACUUCCAAUUCAAUAUAUUUCACUUUGCAUUUAUAAUAGUGGAGAAUGCACCAAUACUUAACAAAAGCACUUAAAACUAUUUUUCUCUCUCUUUCAUUUAUACAUUUUUUUUAAUAUGUGUGAAAUGAGCUUUUGACUCGGUUAAUCUGAGACGGAAGGAGUAUUAUUUUCCUCCAUGUGCGAUUACUGUUUUUGAAGCACCUCCACAUGCAUGUCCGUUACUUUCGACUAGAGCCAUCCCAGUUAAAUUAAGUGUAUAUAAUUAAGAUAGUGGAUAUUUGUAUUAAAGUUGUUUACAAAAUUUGAUUUUUACUUCCAUAUUUUUGUUAUUUUAUCUUUAACUUUUGUCGUUUUAAAAAAUUCAUAUUGAAUUUAUUUCAUGUUAAAAAAUUCUAAAUUUUUGUAAAUGAACCUUUCACAGUGUUAUAAACUCGUGUAAAAAAAAAUCGCACAAAAAUUUAAGAGUUUAAGUAUAAUUAAACAAAUAUUGUUUUAGCAGAGACUAAAAUUAUAAGUAUUUUUUUUUUGUAAGGACUAAAAAAUGUAUUAAAAUUAAGUAAGGACUAAACUUAAAAAUUAUCCAUUUUAUAAGGACCAAAAACAUAUUUAAUCAUAUAUAUUAUACACUAAUAAAAGUUUCUCAUAUGAACUAGCAUACUUCACUAAUAAAAAUUUCAACAAAUCACAUGAAUAUGUUAAACUCAAUUUUAUUAUAUCUUUGGCUACGUUACAUUAAAUCUUAACUUUCGUAGGCUAAAAAAAAUAAAUAAAAACAGCCUUCAUAUUGAAGACAACACAUAGCUAGGGACGGAUUCUACGAGAAAGCUUCAAAAGGAAAUUACACGUAAAAUAACAAAAAAUUAUUCAAAGAGUAAGAAGAGUCCAAGUCAAUUUUUAAAACAUAAACAUGUGUCCUUAUGGUGGUUGAAUUCAUCAAAGAAAAAGCAAUUAACAAAACAUAUCACAACCAAUCAUUCUAAUUGGUUGUUCAACAAAAUGAACAGCACACAAUCUUACAUAAACAUCUAACAAUCGACUUAUUCAUGUUCUCUCCGUUUCAUAAUAUAACAAAAAUUCAUUUUUAGGUUCAUUUAUUUAAUAAUGUAUUUGGUCCGCAAAAUUCACUUUUUAGGGUUAUUCAUUUAAUUAUGGACCACAUACAUCAUUAAAUGAAUUAAUCUAAAAAGUGAAUUUUGCUUAUAUUUUGAAACGAGGGAGUAUGAUACAACGUUUGCAUAAUUGUCUCUGAAGCUCCGGCUGUCCACGUUAUCUGUGGGCCCCACGUGUUUCUCCAAUCUUAUAAAUACUCCCAUCACUUAUUCAACAUACAUAACUUGCACAACUACUCCUUUGCUUCACAAUUUUCAUUUUCAACUUCCUCUACUUCACAAUUUACCAAUGGCAUCAUCAGCUACUACAAUGAAGUUCUUCUCUUUCUUUUUUGUUGUCUUUGUGGCUGUUGUGGCCUCGGCUCAAGACCUUAGUCCCUCAUCCGCUCCGGCACCAGGUCCUGAUGUUGGGGCUUGUGGAUCUGUUACGAGUUCAGUUGCUAUGAUCGGAGCUUCAAUUGUGUUGUCAAUGCUUGCCAUCUUGAAGAACUGAAAACAUCAUGAACCCACUAAUUUUCUGGUGGAUUUCGUGGAAACAAAGAAAAUGAACACAACUCAAAGAUAGUCGUUAUUGUUGAUUAUUAUGAGUUGAUCUACCUACACAUUUUCUUGUGUACUAUACUUGAGAGCGAGAUAAUAUUUAUUAUCCUAUUUCAUUAUUCAUUGUAGGUGUUAUGUAAAAAUAAAAAGGAUUUUAUCAUCCUUUGUCUAAAAAUAAUUAUUAGCAUCUUAGUGUUAUAGCUUAUUCGUUUUUGUGUGUAAUAUAUUAACAAUGAUUUUUGUAAUUUAUUAUUUUUCCAAAUCUUAUUCCUCGCUUUUGGUAUUUUUUGCUCAAAAAAAAAAAUAACAAAGAAGUGACCAAGUCGAGAGUCUCAGCAAGGUCAUGAAAUGCCCUACAUCUCAUUGAGUACUAAUAUAAUUAUUUACAGAUCAUCUAAUAAAAAGUUUCUUACAUUGACAACGAAAGCUAAAUACACAUAUUUGCAGAAUAUUAAUCAAUUACAACCUAAUCCAACUCCAUUGACAACUUACUCGUAUGUUUUCGAUAAAUAAGUUUUCUUUUUAAUUUUUUACAUUGAAAAAUUAAGAAUGGAGACGAGCAAAAUAUGUGUCUAAAACGAGCAAAAUUUGUCUCUAAACAUAUCUGGGACAAAAUCACAUACCGAACUGGGUCUGUGGUUACUUCCAUCGUCGCUAAGCCUUGAGAGACAUAAUUUAAAUUUCCACCUCCAAUCAUAAACAAAAUAAAUUUUUCUCCAAAUACUAAUAUCUGUCGUUCAUGGUUAAAAAAUAGAUGGACUAAAUCUGACGUUGUUGGAGAUAGAAACCACAAUCUCUAACAAACAUAAUUCCGUCUCUAAACUUUGUUGUGAAGUUUAUAAAUUUCGUCUCAAAUUAUUAAUAUUAUGGGUGUGUUUGUUUCUAUGGAAAGAUAGUGAGGGGGAGAGAAAGACAAGGGAAAGAAACAUUUUCCAUGGUUUGGAACAAGUGAAACCAACUAAUGAAAGAAUGAGAUACCAUGGCUUCCACACCAAAAACCUUUUCAUGGCAAUAUGUGCAGAAAGGUUGGGGAAACAACUAACUUUUGUUUAAAAAGUCCAAAGCACCCCUAGUUUUAUUGUUUUUUUUUUUUUUUUUUUAUUUCUAAACGGGUGUGCAUAUAUAUAAGGGUAUAUAUCUCCAUUAGAAAAAAAAAUAGAUCUUUCUUUCCUCCAAUUUUCUAAUCCACUUUCUAUUAAACCAAACAACCAAAACAAUCCCUUCAUUUUCCAUUUCCUUUCUAUCCUCAUACAAUCUUUCCUUUUACUAUCUUUCCUCUUACUUUCUCUUCUCAUCCAAACAUAGCCUAUGUCUCUACAUAGAAGGAUUGAAGUUUCGUCUCUAAAAAUAUUAUUGUUUUUCAAAUCUACCUCAAUAUUCCAAAUAUUUGCUAAAACGAUGUUUAAAAUUUUUAUUAUGUUUAUCUAGCUCUCGAUAAUGUCAUACUUAUAUUUUGAUAAACAUCAAAUUUGCAAAAAUGACAUAACAUACGCUCAUACAACUACACCACAUGAUAUCAAUACAUAAAGUUGUCAAAUAUAUGUAAAAACAAGGGUGGCUUAAGCACGGGCCAAGGGGGUGGCAGCCUAGGGCACCAUAAAUUUAGAGGCACCAAAAAAUUAUUUUUAAUAUAUAUGUGUGUGUGUGUGUAUUCCCAUUAAAAAAAAUAUAAAAUGCUAGUUGCUGACAAAAUCACAAGGCACUACAAAGUCUAAACUAAUAAAUGACGUGAAUAAAUAAAAUGUAAAAUAAAACCAGUCAACUACAUGUACCAAAAAAUAUUAAUUACAUCCAUAAUUUUAAGAGCUAAACCGAUGAGUCAUGAGUGAAAAGCAAGUGAAUAAUCUAAUUGAGGCACUACAAUUAAAAUAAUGAUAUAGAGUGUUAUGAGUAAUAAAGAGUAGGGUUUUUUUGCUAAAGUAUAUUAAAAGUCGAAUUAUUUUACCUAGUAUAUGAGCCUCUUUUCUUUCUAAUUCUAAUUCUUAUUCUCUAUGACUAAUAUCUCCAUCUCAAUUUGAAAACAAAAAAUAUCUCUCCAUCUUAAUUACGCAACUAUUAGCACAAGAACAAUCAAUUGUCAAAAGCAUAAGUGAUGUAUACGAUUGAUCGCAACUUCAUAAGAUAGGAGUAGGCGCCAAUUGCAAUUGCCAAACAAUUUAUUUAUUAUUUAAUAGUCAAACAAAUUUUAACUCUUGAGGAAUUAACAUUGAAUUAUGAAAUGUUGUGAUGAUAUAAACAUUGAAUUAUGAUCCAUGUCUGCUGUUUUGAUAAACUUGUCGAGUGAAGCCUAGACUCUGGAACAUGGAUUAUAGCUUAGAGCUAAUUGGUUUACAUUUCAAAGAUUCAUACUUGUGUUCUUCUUGCACAAUGUCAAAUGAAAUGUUUAAUAGUUUUCCCUUUCAUUUCUUUUAAUCGUAUCAUUUUUUGUGGAAUUUUUUUAUAAGGGCACCACUCUCUUGAUUCGUCCAAGGCAUCCAAAUUUAAAGAGUUAGCCCUGUGUAAAAAGAUCAUACUAUAUUUGAUAUACCAAAAAUUAGCUAAAUAAAAGUAAUCAUACUAAAGUUUAACAUCAAUCCAUCUCAUUGUCACCAAUAUAAAGCUAUCCAGAAUAUAAAAAGAUCAUGAUAUGUUGAUCUAACUAAAAAAAAACAUUAAUAAAAGGGACAAAGCUAGAGUUCAUCCAUCUCGGCGUUACCAAUAUCACCUUAUCCUUCUGGUUGAAUCGAAGAGUUCAUAUUAGGCAUUUCAAACGUUCCAUCUUCGGUAUUAUCAUUUCUUGUACAAAAAAAUUCAUAUCAAGUUCAGCAUCUUUUUCUAACGAAACUACAUCGAUAAAAAUUGGAGGUUACAACAAUAGCUUAUGAUCCUAGCCUCCAUAGCAGUAACCUUUUGGCUAAAUGUUUGUUUUUAUUUCUUUUUUUAUCAAAAAAAUGUUUUUUUCCUUUACAAAUGAUCUUUUUUUAAUUUCUAACUAACAAAUUGUUUCUUAACAAAAAUAUACAAUAAAUCUUUAGUCCUUAAAAUUGACUAUAUAAUAAGAGUUUAAUUUAUAUACUUUAUCAUUGGACAACACAUAUACCACUUAAACAUUUAUUCUUUGUCUCAUAAUAAUUGUCACCUUAUAAUAUAACACAACAUUUAUUAAUUUUUUCAUCAAUAUAUUCUUAUUUAUUGAAUUUCACUUCUUUUAAUUAAUAAACUAUCUUAAAUUAGUAAGAGAGUUUUGAUAAAUUACACACCAUCUGGUCACUAUUACAAGUAAAAAUCAACUUUUUAAAUACUAUAUAAAAAGUGGAUUUUUACAUAUAAUAAUGACUUUAGAGAUGUAUUAAUUUCACUAUUGAAACUAACAUAAUUGAUUUUUUUUUUUUUUAAAUCAUGUAGAACCUCAAAGAGGCAAUUAAAAGAGGGAAUACAAGAGUAACUUCAAAGAACAAUUCUACCACCAAUAAGAAUACGUCUAUUGUUCCACUUGGACAAACGAUUCCUUUAUACACCCUCCACUUGAAUUAUUAAUGUAUUCUUAGAACUUGGUACAACAGUCCAAGUCUUGGUCGAAAAAAGAGGUGUCCAAGUCAAUUUUAAAUCAGAAACGUUGGCAAUUAUAGCAUGGUGAAUCCUUCAAAGAAAAAACAAGCAUGAUGAUUUUACUUGGUUGUUUAACAAAACUAAACAGCACAUUCACACAGCGCCCAAUCGUAAACAAACAUCAAACGGCCGACUCAUUCAUAAUACAUUUUCAAGCUCCAGCUAUCCACGCUAUCUGUGGACCCCACACGCUUCUCUAAAUAAUAAUUCUUCCCUUAUAAAUACUUUCACACCCUCUCAAUUCUCAUAUCACCACUUCUCAACAUUCUCAACUUCUCUUUAUAUUUUCGAUCUUCAUUUUCAAUCUUCUAUUCCAUAGUUUUGCAAUGGCAUCAUCAGCUAUAAAGUUCUUCUCCUUCUUUUUGGUCAUCAUCUUCGCCGCCACAGUGGCCUCUGCCCAAGACCUUAGUCCCUCGUUGGCUCCGGCACCAGGUCCUGAUGCUGGAGCUGCUGGAUCUGUUACAAGUUCAGUGGCUAUGGUCGGAAUUUCGGUUGUAUUGUCAAUGCUCGCCAUCUUCAAGCACUAAAAACAUGAUGAUUCCACUCAUUUUCUUGUGGAUUCAUGGAAGUAGGCUGAUGUUCUGCUACAUAAUGUUGGUUUGCGGUAUAGUGAUGAUUGAUAUGAGUUAAUCUAUGUAUACUUGAGAGCGUGAGAGUGAGAGAUUUUUACCGUAUUUAUUUUUAUAUUUCAUUAUUUAUUGUAGGUGUUAAGGAAAAAUAAGGAAGACUUUACUAUCCUUGUCGAGUAAUUAUUAUUGUCAUGUUAGCGUUAUGCUUAUUCAUUUUUGUGUAUAAUAUAUAAACAAUGAUAUUAUUUUAUACUUGGUAUUUUUUUAUUUUAUAAAUAUUCUUAUUUUAUAUGUCUUUUAUCCUUGAUCAUUUAAGUUUGGACUUGAAUAUGAAAAUAAUUAAACAAGUCAUUUAUUUAAAAUGAUUAAUUAAUACGUUCAAAUUUUUGUAAUAUAAAGGGAAAUAUAUGUUUAAUUGUAUCUUAACGUUAUAAAAGAACCAAAAUAAUAUUAUUAUUUUUUUUGUUUUAAAGAAUGGAGUCGUGGAAUUCAAUUUAUAUAGGUGAAACGAAUUAUUGUGGGUUUGCCUAUGCCUAUUCGAAACUAGAGAAUUCGAGCAGCGAAAAUUCAAAUGAUAUAAGUGAAACAAAUUAUUGCGGAUUUGGCUAUGCCUAUUCAAAACCAAAGAACUAUUGUGGGUUUGACUAUGUCUAUUCAAAACCAAAAAUUCGUUAACCUAAAAAUUUAGCAGAAGUGGUUAAUGAGCUACACCAAAAAUGAAUAAUUCUAGAGAUUCUGAGUUGGUUCCUGAGCUCAAAGUUUUUUUUUGCACAAACCAAAUGAUAUAUAAUAAUAACAACAAUUAUCCACCCUGCACAAGGCGUGCAAAAGUGAAUCAUCUAUCAAAAUAUACAAAGUCCAGGUGCCAAAAAAGAGGGACACCAUCAUAAACAUCGAAAAAAAGUUACCGGUAAACACCCAUACAAAGUAACGGGUGUUUCACCAAUCAUAAUAACUGUAAACAAAGGAUGGUUGUUUGGUUUUCACCCACAAAAAAGAUGUCAUCUUGAUUUUUUCGAUGAGAACAUAAGGAUGUGAUGCCACAUUUUUAAAGAUAUGGUUAUUCCGAUCCUUCCAUAUAACCCAAGCACAAGCAUACCAAAUACCUUUUAAAAAAGAUUGAGUGCACCGUGGUAAUCCCGCCAUAUUGGAAAACUGAAGAUGAUGUUCACGUUACACGAUGAACAACUGAGUGGACAAAUUAACACGAAAAAAACAAACAAUCGUUUACGCUAAUAAUUUGUUGUAUACCAUACUUUUGAAAUUUGUUGAAUUUUAUCCACGAUAAAAUGCGACUUUAAAUCGGCCUCUUUGGAAAUAGGAAAUCAAAAUUCGCAUAACUUGUAUCAAAUCGCCCUUUUUUACCUUGUGGACAGGUCUUGCAUCUCUGCGAGCUUAAUAUUUUAUGGAGAAUAGGGAAUCAAAAUUCACAUAACUUGUAUCAAAUCGCCCUUUUUACCUUUAGAAAAAUGUGUAACCAUUACAUUUUUAUUCUCCAAGUUGCAAAAAAUGUAAAUUUUUAGGAUAAAGUUUUCUGUAUUUAAAAAGGAUAGAGAUUAAGAAAGAGAAAUAUGUAAGAGAGAAUGCGAGAAAAGAGAUAAAUGUAAAAUAUAAUAUAAUUUAAAAUAUGAUAUAAAAAACAAGGAAAAAUGUUUUAUAUUUUAGGUUUACUUGUUAAAAUAGCUUUUGUAAUAUAUGUGAAGUCUGAAAAUAAUCCUAGUAAAAAUAAAAACACAAAUUAUAUCCGUGUAAGAGAAAACAAUCAUGGUUAGAGAACAUAAUAAAUAGCAUGACGAUCUUGCUUAUUUAAAGCUAGAGGUAUAUAAGAUACCUAGCUCCCUACAUAUUUUGAUAAAAGAAUCUGAUUAAAGUAGUUUUAUAAAAAUAUCAACAAGUUGACACUAUUUAAAUAUCUUUAAAAAACAAAUCACUAACUUUUAAGUGAGAUUUCUUAGGGAAAGCAUAUGGCACAAGAAUGACUGCAAGAACAAUUCUACUACCAAUAAAAAUACGUUCUAUUAUUCCACUUGGACAAACAAUUUCUCAAUACAUUCACAACUUGUGAAUUAUUAAUGUAUUCUUAGAACUUACAAGAGUCCAAGUCUUGUUCGAAAAAAGAGGUAACCAAGUCAAUUUUAAAUCAGAAUCGUUGGCUAUUAUAGCCGUUGAUGUCUUCAAAUAAAAAACAAAGAUACGAUAUUUAACAAAAGUGAACAGCACAUUCACACAGCUCACAAACGUAUAGAAACAUCUAACGGCCGACUCAUUCAUAGUAAUAUAUUUUCAAGCUCCAGCAGCUGUCCAUGUUAUCUGUGGACCCCACACUCUUCUCUAAAUAAUAAUUCUUCCCUUAUAAAUACUCUCACACCCUCUCAAUUCUCAUAUCACCACUUCUCAACAUUCACAACUUCUCUUUAUAUUUUCAUUUUCUCAUUUUCAAUCUCAAAUUCAAAGUUUUAUAAUGGCAUCAUCAGCUAUGAAGUUCUUCUCCUUCUUUUUGGUCAUCAUCUUCGCCGCCACCGUGGCCUCUGCCCAAGAUCUUAGUCCUUCGUUGGCUCCAGCACCAGGUUCUGAUGCUGGAGUUGCUGGAUCUGUUACAAGUUCAGUGGCAAUGAUCGGAGUUUCAGUUGUAUUGUCAAUGAUCGCCAUCUUCAAACACUAAAAACAUAAUGAUUCCACUUAUUUUCUUGUGGAUUUCAUGGAAGUAGACAAGUAAUAUUGACCUGUUCUGAUGCAUAAUGUUGUUUUGUGGUACGAUGAUGAUUGUUAGGAGUUUAUCUAUGUAUUUUUGAGAGUGUAAGAUAUUUUAUAGCAUUUACUUUUACAUUUUAUUAUUUAUUGUAGGUGUUAAAGUAAAAUAAAUAGGACUUUACCAUGGUUCUUGAGUAAUUAUUAUUGUCAUGUUUGCUUAUUUAUUUUUGUGGAUAAUAUAUAAACUAUGACAUUAUUACAUUUUUCUACUUAGUAUUCUUUUAUAAAUCUUUUUCUUUUAUUCAUAUUUAUUCUUUCAUCAUUUAAGUUUGGACUUUUUUUUUGUGUACCUUUUAGUUUGGACUUGAAUAUGAAAAUAAUUAAACAAGUUGUUUAUUAGAAAAAAAAUAGGUUUAAUUGCAUUUUUCCUCCUAUCUUUUGUUAAUUGUGCAAUUUUGCACCCCUUUAUUUUUUGAGCGAUUUUGCACCCCAUCUUUUUCCCCCUUUCUGAUUUUGCCCCCCGUCUUUGUGUUCAAUUGCACUUUUGCCCCCUAUCUUUUUGCUAAUUGUGCGAUUUUGCACUCUCUCUUCUUUUUUUUGAACGAUUUUGCACCUUAUCUUUAGCCCCUUUUCCUCUCUUUUAAUGAUGAUUUUUAACAAAACACAAUUGGCAAAAGAUGGGGUGCAAAAUCACUCAAAAAAAACAAGGGGUGUAAAAUUGCACAAUUAGCAAAAGAUAGGGGGAAAAGUGAAAUUAAGCCACUUUUUUCUUGACAAGAAAGCAUCUCCAAGAUUUUUGUAAGAAGAUAAAAGAAAUACUCCCUCCGGUCCUAUUUAUAAGAUAAAGUUGGGUCAACAAAAGUUGAUGUAUCAGGUUAACAAUUUUCUUAUAAAUAGGACCAGAGGGAGUAUAUGUUUAAUUGUAUAUUAAUUUUCAAAAAGAACCAAAAUUUAAGAUAAAAAUAAAGAUUUGCGAGAAAAUAAUAUAUUUAUUGAAUUUAACUCCAUUUCAUUAACCCACUGACUUUAAUUAAUAAGAGUGUUUUCUUUUUGUGGUGGCCGAAGUUUAAACCUCAAACCUUAUAUAUAUUAUGCAUUGUCUCCAGCAACUAAGUUAAAUUCACGAUGACAAUUAAUAAGAGUAUUUUGGUAAAUGAUACAUUAUUCAAUCACUAUUAUAAACAAAAAUCAAUUUUUUUUUAUAAAAUUUUAUUAUGACUUAUAAUAGUGAUCAGAGGAUGUACUAACAUUAUUAUUAAAAUCACCAUAACCGAACGUUUUCUUAAAGAGAAAUGUUAUUUGUACAACCAUUUUUAUACAACUUUUGUACAACUUUAUCUCUGAUACUCACAUUAUCUUCUUAUUCUCUCUUUUCUUUUUUCUCUCUCCAUUGUUUUUGACCAAUAAGAAGAGAGAACAACAAGGUUGUACCAAAAGUUGUACCAAAAUAGUUGUUCAAAUAUCAUUACUCUUUCUUAAAAAUCGUACACAACCACAAUGUGACAAUUAAAAGGUAUGGGGAGUGCGGAUAGGUAUUAUUCUUUCCCGAGAAAUGAUAUUUGUACAACCACUUUGUGAUAACUUUUUGAUAACUUUCUCUCUCAUACUCACAUUAUUCUCUUAUUCUCCCUCUUUCUUUUUCUCUCUCCAUUGUUUUUGACCAAUAAAAAUAGAGAGAAACGAAGUUGUCACAAAAAUCGUAUCAAAUGGUUGUUCAAAUAUCACUUCUCUUCUUUCCCGUGUCUUUUUCACCCGUCCAAUGAUAAUCCAACCAUUUCUAAUAAAUUUUUAUAAAGUUCAGUGAAAUAAAAUGAAUGGUUAAGAUGAGUGACUUCAAGAGAACAAUUCUACCAUUAAUAAAAAUAGGCUAAAUUACAUUUUUGGUCCCUUAACUAUUUAGGUAGUAUCACUUUGGUCCCUAAGUUAAAAUUUGAUUUAUUUUGUUCUCUUAACUCCUUCCUGCUACACAUUUUGGUAUUUUUCGUUAGUUUUAAUUCAAAAACGUUAGGUUUUCUUCAUUUUCUUCUGGAAUUUUUCUCGGAUUCAUGUUGUUGAAGGUUGAUGGAGAUGAUAUAAAGAUGAAAAAGAGGAGAAGAAGAUGAAGAAAACCUAACGUUUUUGAAUUAAAACUAACGGAAAAAACUAAAAUGUAUAACGAAGAGAAGUUAAAGGACCAAAAUAAAUUGAAUUUUAAUUAAAGGACCAAAACAAUACUAGCUUAAUAGUUAAUGAACCAAAAAUGCAAUUUAGCCAUAAAAAUAUGUCUAUGGUUCCACUUGAACAAACGAUUCCUCUAUACAUCCGCCAUAUGAAUUAUUAAUUGAUUCUUAGAACUUACAAGAGUCCAAGUCUUGAUCGAAAAAAGAAGAGUCCAAGUGAAUUUUAAAUCAGAAAAUAUUGGCUAUUAUAGCGGUUGAGUUAUUCAAAGAAAAACAAAAGAUAUAAUAAUUCUACUUUUUUGGUACUUUUGUUUAACAAAAGUGAACAGCACAUUCACACAGCUCACAAACGUAUAGAAACAUCUAACGGCCGACUCAUUCAUAGUAAUAUAUUUUCAAGCUCCAGCUGUCCACGUUAUCUGUGGACCCCACACUCUUCGCUAAAUAAUAUUCUUCCCUUAUAAAUACUCUCACCCUCUCAAUUCUCAUAUCAUCACCACUUCUCAACAUUCACAACUUCUCUUUAUAUUUUUAUUUUCUCAUUUUCAAUUUCAAUUUGAAAGUUUUACAAUAACAUCAUCAACUAUGAAGUUCUUCUCCUUCUUUUUGGUCAUCAUCUUCGCCGCCACCGUGGCCUCUGCCCAAGACCUUAGUCCUUCGUUGGCUCCAGCACCAGGUCCUGAUGCUGGAGCUGCUGGAUCUAUUACAAGUUCAGCGGCUAUGAUCGGAGUUUCAAUUGUGUUGUCAAUGCUCGCCAUCUUCAAGCACUAAAAACAUGAUGGAUUCCACUUAUUUUCUUGUGGAUUUCAUGGAGUAGGCAAGUAAUAUUGACUUAUUCUGGUGCAUAAUGUUGUUUUGCAGUACAGUGAUGAUUGUUAGGAGUUUAUCUAUCUAUUUUUGAGAGUAAUGUAAGAUAUUUUACGGUAUUUAUUUUUACAUUUCAUUAUUUAUUGUAGGUGUUACAGUAAAAUAAAAAGGACUUUACUAUCGUUGUUGAGUAAUUAUUAUUGUCAUGUUUGCGUAUUCAUUAUUGUGUAUAAUACAUAAACAAUGCCAUUAUUGCAUUUUUCUACUUGGUAUAUUUUUUUAUAAAUCUUUUUAUUUUAUUCAUCUUUUAUCUUUCAUCAUUUAAGUUUGGACUUUUUUUUGUGUACCUUUCUGUUUGGAAUUGAAUAUGAAAAUAAUUAAAAAGUUGUUUCUUAGAAGAAAAAAAAUAUUUAAUACUAACAGCUCAAUUUUUGUUUUGAACAAUCAAAUUUAUUAGAAAUGACAGAAGUAGUACUUAACUCACAAUUCAGGAAUAGUACAAGGGAUACUUGCUUAGUAAAAAAUCCAAACUCUAACUUAAGUAUUUAAACAAAGAAGAGAGUUUGAGUAUCAUUUAUUAUAUAAACACGGUCCCACUUUUUUCUUGACAAGAAAGCAUCUACAAGAUUUUUGUAAGAAUAUAAAAGAAAUAUAUGUUUAAUUGUAUCUUAAUUUUCUAAAAGAACCAAAAUUUAAGAUAAAAAUAAAGAUAUUAAAAGAUAAAGAUUUGUGAGAAUAUAAUAUUUUUUUUGGUUUUAAAGAAUGAAGUGGCGAAAUUCAAUUCAUAUAGGUGAAACGAACUAUCUCGGGUUUGAACAUGCCUAAUCAAAAACAAAAAGUCGCAAAAAGUCGUUAACCAACAAAUUUAGCUGAAAUAGUUUAUGAACUACACCAAAAAAUAAUUUAACACGAAGAAAAAAAAAGGAAAAAAUCGUUUACGUUAAUAAUGAGUUGUGGUCUUUCUAUAAACUGGCAAAUUUAUUAAUCAAGCCAAUUUACAAGAAGUAACGAAAGCACAAGCAAACAAGAAAAAAACAAUCAUAAAAUAAAAAUAUAAAAAACAAGUACUACACCCUAAGAACAUGCCCUCAUAAACACAAUUUUACACUACACAAUCCGAAGAAAGACCUAACUAAGGUUUUACAAUUCGAGAGUUUACCUCAAUUUGUUUUACCUAUAUAAACUCAAACUCAUAUAAGUUUAUUUAAAAUUAAAAUUAUAUAAAAUUUAUUAUAUCCAUGACAUAAGUAAGCUAAUAUAAUAUUGCAAAUAUGUCAAUAAUUCAAAAUAUGACUUAAUUACAAAGACAAAGUAUACAUAACCACCAUAAUAAAGAGUUGUGUUCGGCUUAGCAUCAAAAUACAAAAUUAACUUGCAAAAUCAUAAGUUUGGUAAGACUUUAAACCAUCCAAUAAAGCAAGUUUUAAAAGUUUUUAAAGUUGUUAAUGUUGGAUAUUUAUAUAUUGGCUUCACUUUUGCCUAAAACAAAUAUUCAUGUGAGAUAUUGAACACGAUGUGUCAACAUCCUGGCAUGGUUCAGUUGAUCUGCACACUGUCUCGUUUUAUGCACGCGCUAUUUUAUUUAAAGAAUCCACAUCUUUAUUCAUGUUGGUCAAGCUGCGUGUUUUUAGCACAUGAUCAGAUCAGUUUGUGAUUUCCUAAGAUUGUGUUAUCUACUUAGGAAAGUUUGGAGGUGAUCACGAUGUUCCUAAUAAUGUGCCUACAUAUUAGGAGUUUCCUUUUUUGAUUCUGUUGAUCGUGAAAUGGAUCACCGGAUUGUUCUGAAGCACAACAAGUUUACUGACUCGUAUUGCUUCAGUAUUUAAACAAGACUCAUUCAAGCCGUCAUUUUGAAGAAUAGAUCAUCUAGGAUUUUGAGUCUGUUUGUGUGAGCUUUUCGUGUAUCAUCUUAAUGCAUGUUUAGGACUGUGUUUGAGUUGUAAAUUGUGCACUACUCUGAAGCUUUUAAGAAAAGAGUUAGGUAGUUUGUAAACUGCACCUAAGUUGUGAAAUACGGUGUUUAGUUUUUUUGUGUUUGUAAUUUGAGAAUCACAGGGGAUGUGAUCAAUUGUAAGGGAGUGAGAUGGGAUCUCAGAUCUAGGAGUUCCUAGGUUGAAGUCAGUACGGGUAGGUCCUAGGUCAUUAGCACAAACGAGGAGUUUGCUGAGAGCUAUUGAAUAAGGACUACACUAGUGGAUUUCCUUCCUGACUUGGUAGCCCCCAGAGUAGGUGACGUUGCACCGAACUGGGUUAACAAACUCAUUGUGCUUUUUACUUUUAUGCUUUGCGUUUUUCUUGUCUUUGUUAGCUUAGUGUUCGAAACAUUUCACUCAACAUCUGUUUUUGUAUAACUUGUGUUGAAACAUUGUAUGGAACAUCUUAAGUCUAACGUGCCAGAAUUUCAGUUAAUGAAGUUAUCCAAAAAAUAAACUAGUUAAUUUCUUCAAAAGUUCAAUCAUUCUAAAGUUUCUUAAUAUCAUUAUCAUUGGUGUCUUCAUCUCCAAUUUCAUCAAAUUCUUCUCGAGAUGAUAUAGAAUUUUCCAUAUUACAACCAAAUACAUGGCUUGAACUCACUUCAACAUUAAUUAACUCAUUCAAGUUUACUAUAGUUACAAGAUUUUACCAGGUUUAACACGUGUUAACUAACCCGGUCAAACAUUACAAUUUCAUCAAAAAUAAAGUAUAUCUGCGAGUUAACACGUUUUGGCCACCUAAAAAUGUAAACUCGGACGAAUUUACGAGUUAACAUUUGAUUUGUUGAACACUGCCCGCAACCACACCUGCCAGCUCCAUAAAAUCUACUGCCAAACCUCUACUGCUAAAUUACAUUCUAAAAAUAUGUGUGAGACGUUUUCAUCCGUUCCACAACCAAAUGAACAUAUUUUUUUACGAUUUAAUCCAAACUUCUCUUUUAACUAGAUUAUCUUUCGUCGGUAUCCUAUUUUGCAUCAUUUAUUCACACCAAAACUGAUGAAUACGCCUCCUUUAUCGUAUGUCCUUUUCUACCACUUAUCAUCCUAUCAUUCUUCAAAUUGUAUCUUCUUUAUCGUACAACUAAAUCAAACGCCUUUAAAUUUUUAAUCCCUACCCCUCCGACAUACUUUGUCAGUUAAUUUUCCUACUUACCUCUUUCCCAUCUCACCUUAAACUUCUAAAGAGAGAUUCCAGUUUAGAAAUUAAUCUAAAGUACCCUUGAAGAAAGAAAGAAAAUGGAUAGAUAAACCAUACAUCCCCAGUUUCAUUUUACUUGCCACUUUAGUGUUUUUUUUCUUCAUUUCGAAAUAAUUGUUACUUAUACUAAUAUAAUAUUUUUUUUCAUUAAUAUACCUUAAUUUAUUGAAUUUCACUCCAUUUAAUCAUCUCACUAACUUAUGUUUUGAUAAAUAAUACUAACUAUACAUGUUGUUAGUUAUCAUGAAAUCCCAGGGAUAAAGUACAUAAUGAUCAGCAAAAAAGAGAACAUACGAAUAUUCAUGUGGGAGAUACCCAUAGAAACUCAUAGUAGAAGGAAUAGAUUGGAUAAAAGAUGAUUAAGAGCGUACAAUGGUGAAAGCUAUUUAUAAGGGAAAGUUAGUCUAACUAACUCUUAACUACUCAACCAACCAGCUAACCAUAGUUUUCAUAUCAACUAACUAUGAUUUAUUCAUUAUACUCUAAUAGUCUCCCUCAAACUCAAAAUGGAGAAAUUCACCAAAUUUGAGUUACAAUUUAUUCACUAUAUUGUCCAACUCUACUCUCAAAAGUUACGAUUAACGUGACAUCAUGCUUUGGAAUACUUUAAUUUUUCCCAAAAAUGCCAAUUCCCUCCUUUGAUUAUAUUCAGUCGAAAAUGGCAUUUUUGGGGGUCCCAAUUUGUUAGCUGGUAUUUUCACCAGCCUCAUUUAAUAUGGUCAACAUUAGUUGACUUUUACUCUUGCAGGAAUUGAAGUCUUUUUCCUCAAUAAAAACAUUUUCAACGAAAUGUUGGAUUUAGUGUGAAGAGUCUCGAAGCAUUGAAGUUCGACAAGACACAUAGCAAGAGGCGAGGCCGUUGUAGUCAAGCAACUGCCUUUGGAGCGGGAAAGAUUCAAAUUUCAAAGGAGAAUCGGUUUCCUCAAAGGAGAACGUGGGAUACAAGCGGUUGUCUACAUGGAGGGAGUGUUGAUCGUGUGAUUAGUUUCUUUCCACUUAUUUCUUAUGUAUAAAUAAUAGUUUUCCAUAGGAAAACGGGUCGCAUAUCGCCUAUACAGAAUUUUCAAAACACUCGAAGUAUCGGCGCAAGAGAAAAUGGUCACAAAGAAUGUAUGUAAAGGAUUUGUCAAACCACCUUUAUUUUUAAUGCACUUGUAUUUGCACUUUUUCUUUUCUUUAAGUUUAUGCAAUUUAAACUUAAUGUUUUAAAAAACCUGUCGAAAGACGCCACACGGUCUCAUCCCGUUCCAUAAACAACCUACGAACUUGAUGAACGCACACCAACAAAUUGCACAACAUGUCCUAGGAUCUCUAGUUUGGUUCUUCUUGUUAUAAUCAAAACCAGUCAGUAUUUAUUUACCAUAAACACUGAUAAACAGCUAGUUAACUCACGGCAGGGGCAUUUUCAAAAAUUUGUUUGGGAGUGAACAAAACUUGUUGAAAGAAGAGCAUUUUUCUAAAAUGAUUUCUUAAUAAUUUAUAGAGCCCAAUCAAAUAGAGUCUUCAGUCACUGUAGCAUCUACUCCCAUGAAGUAUAAGAGCGAUUUCAAGAGAACAAUUCUACCACCAAUAAAAACACGUUUUUUGUUCCAUUUGGACAAACCAAUUCCUCUAUACAUCCACUACUUGUGAAUUACUCCAUUUGUUCCAUUUGGAGUAUUAAUGUAUUAAUGUAUUCUAGGAACCUAAAAGGGUCCAAGCCUUGUCCCAAAAAAGAGCAGUCCAAGUCAAUUUUAAAUCAGAAAACAUUGGCUAUUAAAGCGGUUGAGUCCUUCAAAGAAAAAACAAGCAUGAUAAUUUUACUUUUUUUUUAGGGAAAGCAUGAUAAUUCUACUUAGUUGUUUAACAAAACUAACAACACAUUCACACAGCGCACAAACGUAAACAAACAUCUAAUGACCGACUCAUUCAUAAUAGAUUUUUACAAGCUUCAGCUGUCCACGUUAUCUGUGAACCCCACACGCUUCUCUAAAUAAUAAUUCUUCCCUUAUAAAUACUCUCACACCCUCUCAAUUCUCAUAUCACCACUUCUCAACAUUCACAACUUUUCUUUAUAUUUUCAUUUUUUUCAUUUUCAAUCACUAUUCAAUAGUUUUGCAAUGGCAUCUUCAGCUAUAAAAUUCUUCUCCUUCUUUUUCGUCGCCAUCUUCGCUGCCAUCGUGGCCUCUGCCCAAGACCUUAGUCCUUCGUUGGCUCCGGCACCAGGUCCUGAUGCUGGAGCUGCUGGAUCUGUUGCAAGUUCGGUGGCUAUGAUCGGAGUUUCAAUUGUGUUGUCAAUGCUCGCCAUCUUCAAGCACUAAAAACAUGAUGAUUUCACUUAUUUUCUUGUGGACUUCAUGUAAGUAGACAAGUAGUAUUGACUUGUUCUGGUGCAUAAUCUUGUUUUGCAAUACAAUGAUGAUUCUUAGGAGUUAAUCUAUGUAUUUUUGAGAGUGUAAGAUAUUUUACUGUAUCUAUUUUUACAUUUCAUUAUUUAUUGUAGGUGCUAAAAUAAAAUAAAAAGGACUUUA